rnacentral:lncRNA from 1 species
GGCAUGGUGGACUUCCCAGAAGCACUCUGUGACUUUGGCUCUAGCGUCAACAUUAUACUCAGGGUACUUUAUGAGAAAUUCUUUACAUAAACUUUAUUAGAGACAACCAUGUGUUUGCAGUUUGCAGAUCAGAUGAUAACUUUUCCAAAAGGAAUCGUGAGGAACCUUUGUGUCCGAGUUGGUACCUUAUAUGCCCCAGCAGACUUCGUAGUGGUAGAGACCGGAAAUGAUGAGAGAGCACCUAUCAUCCUAGGGAGGCCAUUCUUGAACACCACGGGAGCUAUCAUCUACGCCAGUGCUGCCAAGAUCAGUUUCUACGUCAAAGGGAAGAAGGAGAUAUUUUUCUUCAAGAACAGGACUACACAAAUUCAAGAUCAAUCCAGACGUGAAUCAAGGAAGAGGACCAACAGGAGAAACAGGAACAAGCAAGUGUGGACCGAGUCAGCUAAGAUGGUCACUGUAGUUCAUGGAGGUCAAGACCACCAACUUAAGUCACCGUUUUUGACCAAGAAGGACGACCCAGGAAUGCCAAGCAUUUACUGCUCCAUACAUGGAUAUAGCUUCUACAAGACAAUUUGCGACACCGGAUCGGGCGUCAACAUAAUGGCUGCAAUCACCUAUCGGCUCUUGUUCGGGACCAUGCCACUAAGACCAACAUACAUUCAACUCCAGAUGGCAGAUCAGACAUUUCGAGAAGUUCAAGGAAUAGUAUCUGAUGCUCCAGUCAAAAUAGACGAUCACUUUGUCUACACAGACUUUCAAGUUGUUGACAUGGGAGAAGACGAGUAUGAUCCACCCGUCAUCCUUGGAAGACCUUUCCUCAGCACCGUUAAAGCAAUUAUCUACAUUGGAACCGGAGAAGUCCAUAUGCACUUCCCCUCAGAGAAGGUACACCGUUAUUUUACUGACCCUAACUAUAUCAUUGAAGAAUCUAAGCAGGUAAGAAAGCGACGCAACCGCAACCAGAGGAGGCAGAUCAUCAAGGACGGAUGGGCAGACUAUGAAGGAGAAGUUGUAAGGUCAGAAGACAUAGAGUUUAAACAGAAUUAUCCAGAGGAGAUUGAAGCACCGAGUCAUGUAUGGAAAAUGAAGAUAACUAUACAAGAAGAGGAGGCGCUGCCGGAAGUACCGACUACGCCACCCAACGAACCUCAGGACGAUUAGGAAAAUGGAGAGCCCCGUUCGGAGGACUUAAAAACACCGAACGCCUUGCCAAGAGGUAAACUUGGUAGUUAUCAUUUCCCUUUCAAUUAUUUCAAAUAGUUUACUUAGUUAAUCAUAUUCACACUAUCUUAAAAAGAAAAUAAAAAUGUUAAAAACAGUAAGCCCCAUGUGAGUAGACGAGUGGCAUGAAACCCAUAGGUACAUUCACUGUGGUGGCAUAAAAAUAAAAUAAAUAUUUUUCUGCUUUAUAAAAACAAAAAUAUAAAAACAGGGAGUAAUAAUUAUUAAGGAGUCUCAACAUGAUAAAGGCUAGAUAUUUAUGCUAACACUUAAUCAGUUCCACAAGCUUUGUUGUCUAUUUGAGCUCCACAGAAUUUAAGAAUCAAGAAGACUAGCAGACGGAGGACAUCCUAAUCGCUGUCAGAAUGCUGCUGACUUUCAAAUACACCUCUGCCACCUGCUAGCUACACCAAGAGAAAUUACGUCAAAAUUCAGCUUGGGGGAGAGCACCCCCAUUUAUCCCGAUAAGUAUUUCUUUCUAUCUAUCUUUAUACUUAUAUUAUUUUAGAAUAUAAAUAACUAUGAAAAAACCAAAUAAAGAUUUUAUGCUUAUAUAUAUGCCUUUUGCUUAGUGUGUUUAAUAAAUAAAUAAAGUGGCUAUGCUAAUCUGUAUCUAAAUAAAACUUAAGCAUGGAUAUGAUAAAUAGUUGCUCUGCCUAAUUUGCAAAUUUUAAGUUCUCUCUCAAGUUUAGAUAUAACUGUUAUAAUUUAAAUCUUGCUCUAGACCUAAACUUGUGGGAUGAAAACUUGAUCUGAAGUCUAAGUUGUUAACGGAUAUGAUAUGGGAAGGUUAAGCUGCUGUUUAUCUGUUCCUAGAGAUGCUAGAAUUCUGGAGAAUUUUAUCUUUGAAAAUCUUUAAAAUGUUGCAUGAUGAGUUCGUGUAUGAUGAGAGCUUAAAUUCCUACCACAGCCAUAUAUGCAUGCUUGCUAGACUUUGAGCCACACAUUUAUUAUUUACUGCUUAUGAGCAUUGAGUGUGGUCAAGCUGUGUAGACCCUUAGGAGCUUGUCAUGUGGUUAAAUCAAGAUUUCACUUGCACGUCCACUCAUAUAUGCUACUUCUACUCCGGAAGUACCAUCCACAUAUAUCCAUCCAUUUCCAUCUCAAGAAUCACCCAAAAAUAUUCUACUCCUAAUCCGAGAGAGAAUAACCAAAAAAAAAUAUUUCUAUUUUUCCCUUUGUAAAAUAAAUGCUCAAGUUAUCUUGUUACUACCACUUGCUAUAUUAUCUCAUGAGAUGAGUGCUCUAAAAAAAAGAGAUACGAGGAAAUAAAAAGGAGCAAGUGCUCGGAACCUCGAAAGAAAAAAAAGUGAGACGAGAGGUAAAAAUGGACAAGUGUCCGACAGUAGAAUUAGGGGUGCAAGAUGCCCACCUGAGAGACAAGAAAAAGAAGAGCAUCUCAUUCUCCUCAUAAAGUUUCAAAAGCAAGGAAGGUAUGUAUCCCCUCAAAAGAGCAAAGUAGAAUUAGACUUCCACCACCAUUGUUUCCACCAAUGUUAUCACCAUUAUCACCAUACACCAUUCAUUCGCCACACAUACACAUCUUGAUUUGGCUUAUUGAUUUGUUUCUUUGGAUCCAUGGUUUGACUAUGCAAUAAAUGUCUUGUAAGUAUGUAUACUUUAUCUCCCACCUAUGAACUCCAGAUAUUAAAGCCUUAUUAGAGUAGGGUGAGAGAAAAGGCAAUGUCACUAUGCCUCAUACCACAAAUACUACAUAUCUUGAGAGAAGGCAUAUACCAUCAAUGCCUUGGUAAGGAUCCAAAAAUACCACAAAAGAGAGACCUGAGAGAAUCAUACAAGGAAUUUCUGAGUUUUAUUUGAAAAUCUGCAAAAACUCUAGAGCUAUAGCUGAUCAAGAAUAAGAGACAUGGCACUUGGCUAGACUGUUCUAUAUUUUAACUACUCAAGACAGAAGUGACAGUUACAAGUCCCAUGGUGAAGGUAAAGUAAGUAAGUUUUAAGUCUUGACAGUUUACUCUCACUCAGAGAUGAGAUCUUAUUUAAAAAGCAUGUGUACCGUCAAAUUUUAAAGAUAUUGCAACUACUUCUGGUCCAUAGCUGAGUCUAUCCUUGCUCAGGGACGAGCAAGAGGUAAGCUUGGGGGAGUUUGUUGACGGUCCUUAAGUAUCAAAUUUAAUUUUCAAAUAAAUAAAGAAAAGGAUCCAAAUGAAAUCAAGAUCUAGACUUAGGGUUUUAUCUGACAGAAUUCCACGAGUUUUGGUGUUUGUCUAUUUCUGCAGGGGGUUAUCAGGAAAUACGGAAGAAAGGCCCACAUGUCAGGAUUACGUAAAGAUAUUAACGUGCUGCGCAAUUAUCUUACAUCUAGAAGAGUCCAGAAGCCACGAGACCGAAGUGGAGGCGAAACGGGGCCAGAGACAGGGCGCCCGCCCCCUGUUGGAGUCCAAACAGGACUCUGCUUUGCGGGAAGGCUCCACCGACCUAAAGGAUGAAUCUAAACCAUACAAUCUAUGUCGGUUUGAUCCAAGGGCCCAUAUUCACUUGAAGAGACUAUAAAACCAGACCCCCUGGCCCCUGGAGGAGAGAGCCUCUCAACCCUAAUUCAUUGUUCCAUCAAGGGAGAAGAAGCCUCUGAUCAAGAUUAGAGCCACCACAUCAAUUAGACAUCUAGAUUAGCAUAGCUACAUAGGAUUAGAACUAGAAGGAGUCAAUCUUCGAUUGGUUUCCGGAUCUGUCAGGAGGAUUCUUGGUAAUUCUCUAAUUGUGCUUCUAAUUGCUUUCUAAUUAUCUUUGUUCUUCAAUAUUAUGAAUAUGACUUUGUUCUACUUCAAUAUAUUGCUUAUGACUUUGCUCUACUUGCUUAUAUUCAAGAUUAUAUUGUUCUUAGUUUAUCAUAGUUAUGUACUUGGCUUAGUUAGAUACGAUCUAUAUACAUGCUUAGGAUCGUAUAGCGUUUAUCCAUCGGAUCCAUGGGUAAAUGAUAGAUAUUGUGUAGGCGUGGUGCUUAUACCGUAUUUAUCUGCGAUUGUACCCAAUAUGCCAGAUCGUGGGGUGGUUCGUGAUAGUGACAGCUUCAUUGAUUCUUAUAUAGUCCCCCUCUCGUGUAUUGGGCUGGCAGAGCAACAUUAUUACAGGGGAGUGAUUGCUAUGUUUCUCAUAUUCCUUGCUAAUAUCACUAUGCAUGGGCGUAGUCUUGUCUCGCAAUGAUUGCUAAGUAUGCUUGCACUAACUAUGAUAAUGCUAGACUAUAUAGUUAAGAAUAACUUAGGGAAUAUUCUUGUAGUUCGUUCUAAUACCAUGCUAAUGACUUUCUAGAGUAUCUAAUUGAGGUGCUUAUCAUAUUUAUUAUGUCACUAGAUCAGAUUAGUUAUCCUUGUCACUAUUAUUAUUUCAUAUAUCUUUUAUGUGACACUUAUCCCUGUAUGAAGAGUUAGAUAUAAUGUUCUCAAUUAUACAUGCAAUGAUAGAUGCUCAAUCUCAUAUUCUAUUCUGUAAUCAAUAGUGAUGAUUGCUAAUCCCUUCCCAGUGGUAAAAAUAUAAAUAACGAUACCUGGAGUACUUCCCGGUUAAAAUGCUGCAUCGGUAUUAAUCUGUGCGCUUGCAGAUCCCAUUCAUUAUUUAUUUAGAAGAGCAAUUGCAUAUUUCAAUACCGCGUCUCUCAUGUUAUGCUGGGGAUGACAACUUGGCUUAAGUGGUGUGAGGGAUAGGUUUGGCAUUUUUGGCACCGUUGCUAGAUUUAGAACUUAGUCUACUUUUAGUAAUGAUGUUAAGAAUACCCAACAGUUGCUUAGGUUCCUAGCAAGCGUUUGUGCCACUUGGUGGAGACUCUACCGAACCCACCGUCGCCGGACACGAUGCGCAGCGCCGCUGUGUUUCCGCCGGAGAUGGGCGCUCUCGUGGCCAGCGUAUUCCACAAUGUUUCAAGCCAAGCCGCGUACCUAGGAAGCUUCGCCGUAGUCCGCUGGUGCUGUAGGGAACCCUAGGUCACGCUCUACCGGCCUAAGGACUCCGGCGUAACGCCGAGCACCUCCGCCGAGCCGCCAUGAUCGACGGCGAGCCCCUUCCGGUGGCUCCGCCGUGGAGAAAAGGGGAUCAAUCGAGUCGCUAGAGUCUCGGGAUCACGUUGGUGCCCUUGGUUUGGUCGGAGACCUCGCCGUCGCGGAGAAAUCGCCGGCGAGAGUCGCCUCGGUGGUGAGGAAGACGACCCUGACAGGCGGGGUCCACUGUCAGUGUCACCUCACUUCCCUCCUUUUCCUUUAUUCAAAUCCAGAUUUUUGGCUUUCUUGCAAAAAUCAUAUCUCCUGUUUCUGAGAUCCGAAAAUUGUGAAACCAAUUUUGUGAUGUUCCUUGAGAUGGCUAGUUUUUAUUAAAAAUAUAAAAUGAACCAUGUUUUCUGGGAAAAUAUUUAUUAAGGAUUUAAUCUUGUUAUUCAUGGAUAAAUUCAUAUCUCUGGUUAUACUGCUUAGUUUGCUCUGAAAACUUUAUGGUAGUCUCUGUGUGAUACUAGAAUCCUAUGAUAAAUAGUUCAUGAUUUUUGGAGUACUGCAGCUUUGUUAUGUAAUUUAUGUUUGGGAUUUGGCUUGUUUCUUUAAUUAAAUCAUAUAAAAUAAUUGGUGCUUAUGCUGGUGUUCUACUUUGGUGGUAAACUUUUUUAUGACAUCCAUAAUAUGUAAAUAAUCUGAAAUCUGUUGUUUGACACCAUAUAAGUCAUGUUUCUGAAUUUAUGAAAUAAACACCUUGUCAUAUGUUAAAUACAUAUCUUUAAUUUGGUUUGUGCAAUUGCUCUGAAAUUUUUAUGGUGAUGCUGUGAUGCUAUACUUGUGAAUCUGUAAUUUUUGUAGAUUUUUCUGAGCACUUUUACAAGUAUCUUGUAAUUAUGCUCCUCUCUAGAAUUAAAUUAAUAAAUGCAUUGUUAAUAAAUAUUUGGAGGUUAUCAUGUGGUGUUCUGGUAACCUUAUGACAUGCUUGUACUUAUAAGUUAAGUAUUUGACACUGUUUAUGCUUUGGCUAUCAUUAAAUAAUUAAUUGGUGGGUUAAAAGCUGUUCUGGACAGCAAGGGAGUAAUUUAACUUUUGCUUAAUGAUAACUUGGUUUUCUAGGAAACUUGUCUAAAUCAAAGUUGUUGAACUAGCUGUGGUUUAAAUUUGGGAUCAAUUGGUCCGGUAGUUUAAAAGUUAUGGCUGAUCCAAGUUGGGUUCCAGAAAUAGGUGUUCUCUGUUUUUCUGGGACAGAACCUGGAACUUUGUUUAAAUGGCUUCUUUAACUUAUAAAUCUUGCUGUGAUGUUUAAAGAUGAUUUGUAGUCAAUUUCAUAAGCUUUCCAGAAUGUCCUCACUUAAAUUUGUUGAAUCUUUGUGGCAAUAGUUAUGAUCUGUUUUCUGAGCUAAUUCUGUUAUAUGUUGCUUGCUGUUAUAGGUUAUCAUGAUAGGUUUUGGGCUAAGUUAACUUGUUAACUUGUGUGAACUUGUUAUAACUAUUGCGCCGUAAAUGAGUGUCCAGUGAGUCACUUAUGUUAUCAAGCAUUCAUUCUUUUGUAUGCACACCAUCUCAUUCACCGAGCAUGCAAUAGGUGCAUCGGACGUGGCAGCCUCGUUCGAUCUGCAAGUGAACCCCGAAGGCCAGGAGGGCAGCCAGGAGGUGGAGGUCCAGCCAGUCGGACUCGAGGAGCCCGAAGAAGAAGUUGAGUGCCCGAAGCACGAGCCAGCCUCGUUCGUGAAAGGUAAGCCCCGGAGCAUUCUAAGCCUCCCUUUACUUUCAAAAGUUUAUUUAAUAUGUUAUAUCUAUUGCUGCAUUAAGUAUAGGAGUUGUGAUGAAACCUUUGCUGCAUUUUACUCCAUCCUUGUCCAGAUAAUUUACCUACCUUGGUUGUAGAGUUAGGAUCGGGUAGCAGCUUAGCCAUGCUUAAUCGGUAGAAGUCGGGUGAUUUCCUGUCACUUGCGCGAUAUAGGGUUGUGUCGGAUCACAAUGGUCUAUAUGUGCUAUCGUGGAGGGAACCUGAUUAAAUUGACUUAAGCCGGGCAGAGUUUUGCAAGGUUGUAGUAACUCCGUCUGUGGCAGCUAAGGACCGACCUUUGUACGUCCUCUUGUCAUGUUGAACGCAUGCCUAACAGUUAGUUGGCCGGAUAACUCAUUCCGACCGCGAAGCCGAGUAGUAUGACUCAGGCCGGAAGACCGGCAAGUAUAAAGUACGCACUACCGGAGGAAGUGCGGUGUGCGGGGGACCAUUGGCGUAAGCCCAAAGGCAGGUGAGUUAAAAUUCCUGACCUCCCUGGCAGAGUGGUAGCCCUGGGAGUGCGGCGCUGAUCGGAGCCGCGAUUCCUGAGUUGUACCAAAGGUGACCCGUUGGCUCUCCGACGGGGGAUGCUUGGGUGAGUGCUAGGAAUAACCCUCCAGCUGGAUAGGAAUUCGAUUCGACUCGCCGUCUGUCCCGGUCAGUGAGAACUUGACAGAGCAGCGGCAAACGUAGCAUUCACUAAUGAACUUGGUUCAUGAUAAUGAUGAUAGCAAGGAAGAAUGUAUGAUGAACUUGAUAUGGUUAUUAUUGCUUGUAAUAAUCAAGUGAAGUGCUUAGUACAGGUGCUAAUCUAGCAGUAGGCUAAUGGUAAGUAAAUAUGAUGCUCUUACAAUGGGUUAGUCAUAAUAAAGGCUUUUGGCAAAAUGUCGAGUCAACCAGCUCUGCUUUUAUAUAUUAACAUUGCAUGAUCCUUGGUGUCUUUUAUGUUUUACUAGAUGGGUAAGUCUAGCUGAGUACAAUCUCGUACUCAGGGUUUAUUCCCACCUGUUGCAGAUGACAUCUUUUAUGACGGCUUCUGCAAGACCUGUCUCCAUCCCGCUGGGGAUGAGGACUAACCGUUGGGCACGGUUAUCUAACAACCUCGUACCUAUUGCUUUUGGAAGGAUGAUGUAGACUCUGGCAGGAACUCGAACUUAUGAACUGGACUUUGUAAAGUGUGUGUGUAACUAUUUUGCUUCCGCUACUUCGAACAUGUGUUGUGAUAACUUAAUGACUACGAUGUGGUGCCGCUUCGAUGGCAAUGAAUGACUAUGUAACAUUCGCUGUGUUGUGCUAUUAUUACGAUCUUGGUUUGUUGCAAGUUGGUUUGAAGUCCUUCGUGAUUUCAAUUGACUACCGGGAUUAUAUGGGCUCAAGUUUGGAAACAUGAUUGCUUGCCAAUCGUUUCUACACUUGAACUCUUAUAAUUUGGUCGGUUCUGUGACAGCUGGUAUCGGAGCAAGUUCAGCAUUAUAAAUGCAGCGUUUGUGUAUUUAAAAACAAAAGAAGUUUCUAAAUAAAAUGGUAAAUCAAUACUUAAGUGAUGCCAGAGGUCGAAUCCUCCUUGCCCAUAUAAGGACUAUAGGUGGAUAUUUAAGUACUGACUUGGGGGGGUUUAUUUAUGCAUCUCCGGCAGUACUCAGGUAUAUGACCGCACUAUGCUACCCUGUGGUCUAAUGGUGGAGGUAGCCUUCAUAUGUGAAGUAGCCACAUAUGUCGCUAGAUUUAAAUUAUGCAACGUCGCACCUACGCUCUGGUAAGUGUGAGCUGUGAGAGCAUGAUCGUCCAAACGGCGGUCUAGGGGAGUGUUCGCGGUGGUUUUCUAGAGUGGUCACAGGUUAAAACCAUGGAACCAAAAAAGAAACUUAAUUAGGGAGCAUUUAAUUUCUCGGGUAGCUGUGGUGUCAUUGUUUGUGCAUGUUGGGCAUGUCCAAGCAAUGUGCACUUAGUUUACUGCUUUCUUGAGUGUUAUAUUGGGAACUGUUGGGCUGAAAUGAAGUUUUCUGCAGGUACUCUAACAACGCACGUGUAAAUCGAUAGUUAUCGUAUCGAGAGACGAAUGUAUGCCACCGUAUAUCCGUUAGAAUAUUAAUUUUCUAAGUUUGUGAGGACGUACGGUUCGUGCAUGCAUCAUGUCACAUUCAUACAUACAUUCUGUCUAUUCCUUCCCUUAUAAUUUUGUCCCUUUUAAUUAAAUAAAUGUUGCUUAAACUAAUCCUGUUUUACCCAUGGUAUUCCUAUUCCUUUCCACAGAUGGACGCACCCGCUUCACCCCGUCCCAGUGACACUUUCUUGAGCGAGUUUGGCACUCCUACCCUGCUCUGGAGAGUGUUACAGACUGUCGGGUAUACUGAGCCACCUCAGUACUCUUGGUGGGAGUUGGAGAGCAUAGGAGGGAUACAGUGGUUUGCUAUGCAGGGAGUUGUCCCUCCGCAUGGGGACAAGCCUGCAUGGACAGGCUGGACUUGUAGCUCAGAUGGGCAGACUCCUUGGGAGGCAGCUCAGGUUGCAGCCCAGACUAUCCUGCUCGAUAUCUGCCAGAAGUGUGGUGAUGAGCUGACGAGAGGACCAGCGGCCUCCAUUCCCCGUGCUGACCCAGCAGCAGCGGAGUGGAAACAGGCUGAUGGAUGUGCUUUGGUUUGAGGCAGGGGAGAGAGAGCUGAGAGUUCUAGUCCUGCUAUGAGUGCUAUGAUGGCUGUGCUCAAGUUGAUCGGUCAGCGAGAGGACACCUAUGCACAGGUGAUGGUGGCUGUUCGCCAGGCUCAGGAGAUGCAACGGAAGGCUGAAAAGCGUGCUCGCAAGUUUCGCAAGCAAGCUAGACUCCUGGAGCAAGCUCAGAAGGACCGCAAUGACUGGGAAGACAUUGCGGAGUACCGUAGGCAGUAGUGGGUGAAGGCCAUUAGAGACAGAGAUCAUAAGCAGGAUCAGAUGAGUCAGUUGGCUAGAGAGAGGGAGACCAUGCAGGAGCGCUUGGUGCAGAUCACUCGUGAGAGGGACACUACACUCCGCGUGUCGGAGAACAGGCGCCGGGCAUGGGAGAUGCACCGGGUUCUGCAGGAUCAGAUUGAGGCUGGUCUUGUGGAGAUUCACCGUCUCAACAACUUGCUACACCCUAUUCCUCGCCCUAUACCCGUGUAUCCAGAGGUGAGACCUCAGGUGAUUGUGGCCGAUGAUGAUGGUAUGGAGGUCAAUGGACCAACAGCGGCUGCACCACCUUUGCACGAGGACGUGGAGAACGAGGAGCUUGAGCCGGUUAGCGACGAGGAUGGAGAGGCAAUCUUCGACGCUGAUUCAGACGACGAGCCUGGAGUGUAGGGAGUAGUGGGUAGUGUUAUGUGGGGAUCUUUUGUAGUCUGGCAGCUAGCGGUGAUGCUUUUGUAACCAUGUUGUAAUUCGGAACUUUGACCUUGACUCAUGGCAUGUAAUGGGAUGGUGUAAUAACUUUGUGGACCCAAUGUGUAAUCUUAACAUGUUCGUUAUGUUAUGACGAUGUUUUCCGUUGUGGUGCAUAUUGCGGGUAUCUCUGUCAUGUAUUGGAUUGGUGAUGUUGUUUUGUGGAAUUGAAUUAUUAUGCCUUUUCUGUAAAGCUAUUCUCUCGAAUACUUUCAGGCAUAAAUAUAAGUUCUUCUGCGGCAAAUCUUGUCAUCAUCAAUGCUCACUGACUAUGUCUUUACAGAUGUCUCGUGGCACCCGAGGUGCGGAACAGCGUGCAAACAUGCAUCCACCCCCUCGUCCUCCACCACCAAAUCCUGCUGAGUUAAUGCAAAUGAUGGUGGAAAAUCAGAGGAUGGUCACUGAGACCAUCAAUCGGAUGGCCAAUCAGGGUGGUCGUAAUGCACAUGAAGGGCCAGCUCCUAACCAGUACAGUAGCUUCAAGGACUUCAUGGAAACAAAACCCCCGCCUUUCAGAGAAGCUGAAGAACCCCUUCAAGCUGAGGAAUGGCUGAACACGGUGGAACAAAAGUUCCGCUUGCUUCGGUUGACUGAAGGUUUCAAGGCAGAGUAUGCAGCUCAUCAACUGCAAGGUCCGGCAGGCAUCUGGUGGAAUCAGUAUCGGGAAGCUCUUCCAGCCGACACUGUGCUUGACUGGAAUCUUUUCCGUGAAGCUUUUAAGGGGCAUUUCAUUCCUCCUGGUGUCAUGGAGAUGAAGCAUACUGAGUUCAUGCAGUUAACCCAGGGUAACAAAUCUAUGAAGGAGUAUUUGCAUGCUUUCAAUCAUUUGUCUAGGUAUGCUCCUGAGUUUGUGAACACUGAGGCGAAAAAGAUUGCCAGUUUCAAGCGGGGUUUGUGCCCCAAGUUGCUGAAGACUAUGGGCAGCACUAAGUGUGCAACUUUCAAUGAGUUUGUCAGUGAUGGUCUCACUCAAGAGAACUAUAACACUGUGUACACUACGACCAAGACUCGCAAGUGGGCUUUUGAGGCUAGGGCAGGGUCAUCUCAGUCCAAGGCUCCAGUGGCAGCUAAGCCACCGUUCCGUGCUCCAACGCCUAAUCAGCGGUACCGCCCUCCGGUGAAACAGAAUCAGGCGAAGACAGGUUUCUGCAAGGGGUACUCCAUUGCUCUUCCUAGGGGCAACACGGGUCCCAACUAUGCCAUGACUCCACCUGCCAACCGUCCGUGCUGGAACUGCAAUCAGACCGGGCAUUGGCAGAGUAACUGUCCUUACCCGCCAAAGAAGGGCAACCAAGGGAACGUCUGUCAGGGGCGUGUUCACUACACAACUGUGGAGGCAAUCCCUGCUGGUGAGGUAGUCACGGUAGGUAAGUUUCUGGUUAACCAAUGUGACGCGCUUGUGCUUUUUGAUUCAGGAGCAUCGCAUUCUUUUGUGAGUUCUGAAUUUGUGUCUAAGCAUAAUAUCAAGGCAAUUACACUUGAUAAGGGCAGUUAUUGUAUUAGUGCUGCGGGAAAUGAUAUUUCCACCAUCAAGUGGUUUUGGGGGCAACUCUGGAAAUAGGAGGCCGUCAGUUUCUUGCUAUUUGGUUGUUCUACCCGGUGUGGGCAUAGAUGUAAUUCUGGGGAUGAAGUGGAUGAGUGGCAACGGAGUUCUUAUCGACACCACCACUCGUGUAGUGAUGUUGAAAGACCCGAAUACCAAGGAGGCAUUUCUAGUGCAACUCCCUCAUGAUAUUCAAAUCCGUAGCAUUGUGAAUGCAGUUACAUCUAAGGCUAUUCAGGACAUUCUGGUGGUGUGUGAGUUUUCGAAUGUAUUUCCUGAUGAUUUGCCCGGGCUUCCUUCGGAUCGGGAUGUGGAGUUCAAAAUUGAGUUGAUUCCAAGUACCGCUCCUAUCUCUAGAAGGCCUUAUAGAAUGCUGCCAAAUGUGCUAGCUGAACUUAAGACCCAACUAAAUGAGUUGUUGAAGAAGGGUCUUAUCCGUCCUAGUUCUUCUCCAUGGGGUUGUCCCGCUAUCUUUGUGAAGAAGAAGGAUCAAUCUUUGCGCAUGUGUGUGGACUAUCGUCCCCUAAAUGCGGUGACCAUCAAGAAUAAAUACCCUCUUCCUCACAUUGAUAUCUUGUUUGAUCAGUUGUCUAAAGCCAAGGUAUUCUCCAAGAUCGAUUUGCGAUCUGGGUACCAUCAGAUCAAGAUCCGUCCUGAAGAUGUACCUAAGACAGCUUUCUCGACAAGGUACGGGUUGUAUGAGUAUCUCGUCAUGUCCUUCGGUCUUACAAAUGCACCUGCUCACUUCAUGUAUCUCAUGAAUUCGGUGUUCAUGCCCGAAUUGGACAAGUUUGUGGUGGUCUUCUUUGAUGAUAUCUUGGUAUAUUCCUGCAAUGAAGAGGAGCAUGCAGAGCAUCUGCGUAUAGUGUUGCCGCAUUUGCGCGAACAUCAGCUUUAUGCCAAGUUUAGCAAAUGUGAGUUUUGGCUGAAGAAAGUACCUUUCUUGGGCCAUGUCUUAUCUGAAGAAGGCAUAUCGGUGGACUCAGCCAAGGUGCAAGAAGUGCUGGAUUGGAAACUUCCAACUUCGGUGCACGAGGUUCGAAGUUUUCUUGGUCUGGCUGGAUAUUAUCGUCGAUUCAUUCCGGAAUUUUCAAAAAUAUCCAAGCCUAUGACCCGUCUGCUUCAGAAAGAUGAGAAGUUUGUGUGGACGCCUGAGUGUGAAGAGGCAUUCCACAUGUUGAGGACAUUGCUGACAUCAGCUCUUGUCCUAGCUCAACCUGAUAUCGAAAAGCCCUUCGAUGUCUUUUGUGACGCGUCAGGCAUCGGUUUAGGCUGCAUGUUGAUGCAGGAAGGUCGCGUUAUCGCGUAUGCCUCGCGCCAACUUCGAAAACAUGAGGUCAAUUACCCUACUCAUGACUUAGAAUUGGCAGCAGUUGUUCAUGCUUUAAAAAUCUAGAGGCAUUACUUGCUGGGUAAUCUGUGUAAUAUCUACACCGAUCAUAAGAGCCUCAAGUAUAUCUUCACUCAACCUGAACUGAACAUGCGGCAGCAAAGGUGGCUUGAGUUGAUUAAAGAUUAUAAUGUACAAGUGCACUAUCAUCCGGGCAAGGCAAACGUGGUUGCGGAUGCUUUGAGUCGGAAAGCGCACUGUCACUCUAUCCUAAUGGAAGAUCCGUUGUUGUCACAUCUUAUGCAUCCACUUGUGCUCCACCAAAUUUCUCUGGAGAGUACUCUUCGCAAUCGAGUCAUCGAAUUGCAGCAAACAGAUGUAGGUAUCCACCAUAUAAAGAGGAAAAUGAAGGAAGAAGAAACCAAGCAUUUUCGGGUCGAUGAGAGCGGAAUUCUUUGGUUCAAAGAUCGACUAGUGGUCCCAAAGGACCGUGAGCUGCAAAAUCAGAUCUUGUCUGAAGCUCAUUCAUCGAAAUUGUCUAUCCAUCCUGGUAGUAGCAAGAUGUAUCAGGAUCUGAAACCUUUGUUUUGGUGGACAAAGAUGAAAAAGGAGAUCGCUGCUUUUGUCGCUCGUUGUGACAAUUGUUGUCGUGUGAAGGCUGUUCACAUGAAAGCUGGUUUACUUCAACCCUUGUCAAUUCCUGGUUGGAAAUGGGAAGAAGUCAGCACGGAUUUCAUCGUUGGAUUCCUAACUUCUGUUAAGGGUUACGACUCCAUCUGGGUGAUUGUAGAUCGUUUGACCAAGGUUGCUCGAUUUAUUCCAGUUCGAACUGACUAUCGUCCACAUCAAUAUGCAAAAUUGUAUUUCGAGCACAUUGUUCGUCAGUAUGGUGUGCCUCGAACUAUUGUAUCAGAUCGUGGACCACAGUUCACUGCUCAUUUUUGGUAAUGUCUGCAUGAGUAGAUUGGUACUCAUUUAGUCCGUAGCUCUGCUUAUCAUCCCCAAACGGCUGGUCAAACUGAACGGGUUAACCAAAUCCUAGAAGACAUGUUGAGGGCAUGUGCUCUCUCUUCAAAAGGUUCUUGGGUUAAGUGGUUGCCAUUAGCUGAGUUCUCCUACAACAAUAGUUAUCAGGAGAGUAUCAAGAUGGCUCCAUUUGAAGCCCUGUACGGUCGAAAGUGUCGAACCCCGUUGAAUUGGGUAGAAGCCGGAGAGCGAAGGUAUUAUGGCAUCGAUUUCGUGAACGAAGCAGAGCAGCAAGUCUGUACCAUCCAGCAACAUCUGGAAGCUGCUCAAGCUCAUCAGAAAAGUUAUGCCGAGAAAAGAAGGAAGCCGAUUGAGUUUUCAGUUGGUGACCAUGUGUAUAUCAAGGUGUCUCCGAUGAAGGGUGUACAAAGGUUCGGAGUCAAGCGAAAGCUUGCACCUCGUUAUGUGGGACCUUAUCGGAUUCUCGAAAAGAAAGGGAAUGUGGCAUAUAAAGUUCAACUCCCAGUUGCGCUUCGAGCUAUUUUCCCUGUCUUCCACGUAUCACAAUUAAAGAAGUGCCUUCGGGUUCCGGAGGAAAGAGUGGAAGUUCGGAAUAUCAAGUUGAAAUCAGACUUGGUAUAUGAAGAAAAACCUAUAGCGGUUCUUGACCGCAAGGAAAGGGUGACUCGUAAUCGUGUGGUAAAAUUCUACAAAGUGUUGUGGAGUAACCACGGGGAAGAAGAUGCCACUUGGGAGACGGAGGAUUAUUUAAAAGAAGUUUACAAAACAUUCUUCGAAAAUCAGUAAGCUUUCAAAUCUCGGUACGAGAUUUUUGUAAGGGGGGAGGGCUGUAACACCCUAGUGUUAUGGUUGCAUUAAUCAUGUGCAUAGCAUGAGCAUCAUCAUCUACUCAAAGCAUAUCAUGAUCAUCAUCUAUCUUGAGCCAUGUCAUUCUAUGCAAAAAUGUGAUCUAAAUUACUUAAAUAGGCUUCCUAUGCUUAUGUUUGAGUGAACCAUGCUUGUGUAUGUGCUCUAUGCAUUGGUAAUUAGUUUAUCUAUGCUCAACUUAACCUUGGGAACAAUGUUCAGGUUGAUCACUUCUUCAAAAUAAUCACUUAAGUCAUACUUAUGCAUAUAGGCUCUAGAAACCUCUUUUGCUUAGGCUUUUAAAAAGUGUUUCAUAAAAUCUUUGCAUGUCAAAACUUUCUACAGAAAAGUUGUAGCAAAUUUUAUAAGGAAGAAAAGUUGUUUUAUGGCCAUCUCGUGAAAAUGAACACAACUAGCUCAAAAUUGACCCUCAAGGCAGAAUUGGGGCUGUUUCCAACACUUAGAGAAUUUUUUUAAGUAUGGGGACGCUACAGUUUGCUUGAUUGAUUUUGGGAAUCUCAUAUCUCUCAAUCCAGGCCGAUCUGGCUUUUGCUCUAGUUGACAAUGUUGUAGAACUCGAUUGGAACUCCAACUUUGUCAACUGCAUCAUCUCCUAUUUCGCUCUGGUUUGGGAGAUAAUCAUCGUCGAAGUCACUCUGUCAGACCCUGAUCGUGUCGUUUGAUUCAGAGUAGAGCUCGCCGUCGGGAACGUCCAGAGCGCCACCUGUCCGCCAGAUGGCGCCCGUACGCCGGCGAUGGUGAAAGGUCCUAAUAUGGCUAGAGGGGGGUGAAUAGCCUAUUUAAAAAUUCUACAAACCCACUAGAGCAAAAGGUUAGUAAAUAACAAAGCGAAGCUUUUUGCUCUAGCUCUAAUGGGGUGUUUGCAAGCCACCUAUCCAACAAUUCUAGUUGAUAUAAGCACUAAGCACACAAGAGCUAUGUCACUACUUACACUAGAAAGCUACCUAAAGUUUCUAUACAAGUAAGUAAGCUACUCUAGUUUGCGGGAAUGUAAAAGAGAUGGUUUGAACUUUAUACCGCCGCGUAGAGGGGAUGAAUCAAUCAAUAAUAUGAAGUCCAAUUACCGGGAGAAAUCCAAUGAAAAAUCACAAUGGAAACACAAUUUUUCUCCCGAGGUUCACGUGCUUGCCGGCACGCUACGUCCCCGUUGUGUCGACCAACACUUGGUGGUUCGGUGGCUAAGAGGUGUAGCACGAACCUCGUCCUCACUAGGACACCACAAGAACCUAUCCACAAGUGAGGUAACUCAAUGACACGAGCAAUCCACUAGAGUUACCUUUCGGCUCUCCGCCGGGGAAGGUACAAGACCCCUCACAAUCACCGGGAGAUGGCCACGAACAAUCACCAACUCGUGCCAAAGCUCCUCCGCUGCUCCAAGCCGUCUAGGUGGCGGCAACCACCAAGGGUAACAAGAAAACCGCAGCUAGAACGAUCCCCAAGUGCCACUAUAUGCAAUCACUCAAGCAAAUGCACUUGGAAUCACUCCCAAUCUCACAAAGAUGUUUAAUCUAUGAAGGAGAUGAGUGGAAGGUGUUUGCUUAGGCUCACAAGGAUGUCUAGUAGUCAAGAAUGCCAAGAGGGUGAGCCCUAAGCCGGCCAAACACGUAUUUAUAGCCCCUCAAACAAAUAGAGCCGUUGGCCCUUUCACUGGGCAAAACAGGGGUCACCAGACGCUCUUAAAGGUGCACCGGACGCUCAACACCUGCGUCCGGUGCUCCAACGUCAGCCGAGUCAGAAUCCAACGGUAACCUGCAGAGCACCGGACGCUGAGCAGGUUGACACCGAACGCGUCCGGUGCACACCAGACUCGUGCGCAGAGAGCUCCGCAAACUCGCAGGGUCACCGGACGCAAGCCACCGGACGCACCCUCAGCGUCCGGUGCUCACCGGACGCAUGCGCAGAGAGGCUCACAAAACGUCCGCACACCGGACGUUCAAGCCAGCGUCCGGUGCCUAUCGUCCGGUGCCUUACCCUAGCUGGGCCAGGCACUGUCUGCACCGGACGCUCAGGCAUAGCGUCCGGUGCCUCUGAGCCAGCGUCCGGUGAGUGUUCCUCAGCGAGAAACACUCCCGUGACUUCUCCAAAUUUCCCACCGGCGCAAUAGAAAAUAUGCACUUCAUUUUCUCGAAAAGCGCCGAAUCCCGCCUCGCAAGCUCGGCGGGAGGGAGAGAGGAACCCAUCCCCUCUCUACCCUUCAAACUCCAACUCCCUUCUCAAAGUGUGCCAACACCACAACGUGUGUACCAACAAGUGCACGUGUGUUAGCAUUUUCACAAUCCUUUUCUUUGAAGGAGUUAAGUUAGCUCACUAGGUUCUAAAUGCAUGCACAUGAACAAUGACACCUAGUGGCACUUGAUAACCGCUUAGCUAAAGAAUUCCCCUCUUUAUAGUACGGCUAUCUAUCCUAAAUGUGAUCACACCCUCUAUGGUGUCUUGAUCACCAAAACCAAAACCCUAAGAAAUACCUUUGCCUUAAACUCCAUAGGGUUUUGUUUUUCUCUUUCUUCUUUUCCAAGUUGAGCACUUGAUCAUCUUGUGGUUAUCACCAUCAACACCAUGAUCAUCACAUGCUCCAUCACUUGGCAUGUACCAACCUCAUUAAGUCUACACACACUUAGUAUAGAGGUUAGUACUAGGGUUUCAUCAAUUAUCCAAAACCAAACUAGGGCUUUCAGAUGGCCCCGCUCGUCAGCUCCCAGCGUGCGCAUGACCUCCACGGCGACGCCCCGGACGCAGUGGACGCGUCCACUCUCUCCUUCCACCCACUCUCUCGCCAGAACGCGGCCUCAGUGAGCUCACUCCGGCGAGCUCACUCCGGCGAGCUCGUGCGCGUUCCUUGCUACGCCAUUGCCCACCAAACUUCACCCAAAGCUUCACCGUGAACCGCUCUCCAUUCUCCACCCAUCAUCUCGCCGUGAAAUCCACCGUUGAGCCGCCAUUUCCUUCUUUCCCCAAAUCGGGUCGCUGUGACCUUCUUUUCCGGCGAACUCAAUGCCGAGCCCUGUGAAGCCGCCCGUCUUCUCUGGUUAGGUCCUAGAGGUUGCUUAGGUUCCUAGCAAGCGUUUGCGCCACUUGGUGGACGCUCUACCGAACCCACCGUCGCCGGACACGAUGCGCAGCGCCGCCGUGUUUCCGCCGGAGAUGGGCGCUCUCGUGGCUAGCGUGUUCCACGAUGUUUCCAGCCAAGCCGCGUACCUAGGAAGCUUCGCCGUAGUCCGCUGGUGCUGUAGGGAACCCUAGGUCACGCUCUACCGACCUGAGGACUCCGGCGUAACGCCAAGCACCUCCGCCGAGCCGCCAUGAUCGACGGCGAGCCCCUUCCGGUGGCUCCGCCGUGGGGAAAAGGGGAUCAAUCGAGUCGCUAGAGUCUGGGGAUCACGUUGGUGCCCUUGGUUUGGUCGGAGACCUCGCUGUCCUGGAGAAAUCGCCGGCGAGAGUCGCCUCGGUGGUGAGGAAGACGACCCUGACAGGCGGGGUCCACUGUCAGUGUCACCUCACUUCCCUCCUUUUCCUUUAUUCAAAUCUAUAUUUUUGGCUUUCCUGCAAAAAUGAUAUCUCCUGUUUCUGAGAUCCAAAAAUUGUGAAACCAAUUUUGUGAUGUUCCUUGAGAUGGCUAGUUUUUAUUAAAAAUAUAAAAUGAACCAUGUUUUUUGGGAAAAUAUUUAUUAAGGAUUUAAUCUUGUUAUUCAUGGAUAAAUUCAUAUCUCUGGUUAUACUGAUUAGUUUGCUCUGAAAAUUUUAUGGUAGUGUCUGUGUGAUACUAGAAUCCGAUGAUAAAUAUUUCAUGAUUUUUGGAGUACUGCAGCUUUGUUAUGUAAUUUAUGUUUGGGAUUUGGCUUGUUUCUUUAAUUAAAUCAUAUAAAAUAAUUGGUGCUUAUGCUGGUGUUCUACUUUGGUGGUAAACUUUUUUAUGACAUCCCUAAUAUGUAAAUAAUCUGAAAUAUGUUGUUUGACACCAUAUAAGUCAUGUUUCUGAAUUUAUGAAAUAAACACCUUAUCAUAUGUUAAAUACAUAUCUUUAAUUUGGUAUGUGCAAUUGCUCUGAAAUUUUUAUGGUGAUGCUGUGAUGCUAUACUUGUGCCUCUGUUGUUUUUGUAGAUUUUUCUGAGCAAAUUUGCGAGUAUCUUGUAAUUAUGCUCCUCUCUAGAAUUAAAUUAAUAAAUGCAUUGUUAAUAAAUAUUUGGAGGUUAUCAUGUGGUGUUCUGGUAACCUUAUGACAUCCUUGUACUUAUAAGUUAAGUAGUUGACACUGUUUAUUCUUUGGCUAUAUCAUUAAAUAAUUAAUUGGUGGGUUAAAAGCUGUUCUGGACAGCAAGGGAGUAAUUUAACUUUUGCUUAAUGAUAACUUGGUUUUCUGGGACACUUGUCUAAAUCAAAGUUGUUGUAAACUUUAUGAACUAGCUGUAGUUCAAAUUUGGGAUCAAUUGGUCCAGUAGUUUAAAAGUUAUGGCUGUUCCAAGUUGGGUUCCAGAAAUAGGUGUUCUCUGUUUUUCUGGGACAGAACAUGGAACUUUGUUUAAAUGGCUUCUUUAACUUAUGAAUCUUGCUGUGAUGUUUAAAGAUGAUUUGUAGUCAAUUUCAUAAGCUUUCCAGAAUGUCCUCACUUAAAUUUGUUGAAUCUUUGUGGCAAUAGUUAUGAUCUGUUUUCUGAGCUAAUUCUGUUAUAUGUUGCUUGCUGUUAUAGGUUAUCAUGAUAGGUUUUGGGCUAAGUUAACUUGUUAACUUGUGUGAACUUGUUAUAACUAUUGCUCCGUAAAUGAGUGUCCAGUGGGUCACUUAUGUUAUCAAGGAUUCAUUCUUUUGUAUGCACACCUUCUCAUUCACCGAGCAUGCAAUAGGUGCAUCGGACGUGGCAGCCUCCUUCGAUCUGCAAGUGAACCCUGAAGGCCAGGAGGGCAGCCAGGAGGUGGAGGUCCAGCCAGUCGGACUCGAGGAGCCCGAAGAAGAAGUUGAGUGCCCGAACCACGAGCCAGCCUCGUUCGUGAAAGGCAAGCCCCGGAGCAUUCUAAGCCUCCCUUUACUUUCGAAAGUUUAUUUAAUAUGUUAUAUCUAUUGCUGCAUUAAGUAUAGGAGUUGUGAUGAAACCUUUGCUUCAUUUUACUCCAUCUUUGUCCAAAUAAUUUACCUACCUUGGUUGUAGAGUUAGGAUCAGGUAGCAGCUUAGCCAUGCUUAAUCGGUAGAAGUCGGGUGAUUUCCUGUCACCUGCGAUAUAGGGUUGUGUCGGAUCACGAUGGUCUAUAUGUGCUAUCGUGGAGGGAACCUGAUUAAAUUGACUUAAGCCGGGCGGAGUUUUGCAAGGUUGUAGUAACUCCAUCUGUGGCAGCUAAGGACCGACCGUUGUACGUCCUCUUGUCAUGUUGAACGCAUGCCUAACACUUAGUUGGCCGGAUAACUCGUUCCGACCACGAAGCCGAGUAGUAUGACUCAGGCCGGAAGACCGGCAAGUAUAAAGUGCGCACUACCGGAGGAAGUGCGGUGUGCGGGGGACCAUUGGCGUAAGCCCAAAGGCAGGUGAGUUAAAAUUCCUGACCUCCCUGGCAGAGUGGUAGCCCUGGGAAUGCGGCGCUGAUCGGAGCCGCGAUUCCUGAGUUGUACCAAAGGUGACCCGUUGGCUCUCCGACGGGGGAUGCUUGGGUGAGUGCUAGGAAUAACCUUCCAGCUGGAUAGGAAUUCGAUUUGAAUCGCCGUCUCUCCCAGUCAGUGAGAACUUGACAGAGCAGCGGCAAACGUAGCAUUCACUAAUGAACUUGGUUCAUGAUAAUGAUGAUAGCAAGGAAGAACAUAUGAUGAACUUGAUAUGGUUAUUAUUGCUUGUAAUAAUCAAGUGAAGUGCUUAGUACAGGUACUAAUCUAGCAGUAGGCUAAUGGUAAGUAAAUAUGAUGCUCUUACAAUGGGUUAGUCAUAAUAAAGGCUUUUGGCAAAAUGUCGAGUCAACCAGCUCUGCUUUUAUAUAUUAACCUUGCAUGAUCCUUGGUGUCUUUUAUGUUUUACUAGACGGGUAAGUCUAGCUGAGUACAAUCUCGUACUCAGGGUUUAUUCCCACCUGUUGCAGAUGACAUCUUUUAUGACGGCUUCUGCAAGACCUGUCUCCAUCCCGCUGGAGAUGAGGACUAACCGUUGGGCACGGAUCUCUAACAACCUCAUACCUGUUGCUUUUGGAGGGAUGAUGUAGUCUCUGGCAGUAACUCGAACUUAUGAACUGGACUUUGGAAAGUGUGUUUGUAACUAUUUUGCUUCCGCUACUUCGAACAUGUGUUGUAAUAACUUACUGACUCCGAUGUGGUGCCGCUUCGACAGCAAUGAAUGACUAUGUAACAUUCGCUGUGUUGUGCUAAAUUAUUACGAUCUUGGUUUGUUGCAAGUUGGUUUGAAGUCCUUCGUGAUUUCAAUUGACUAUCGGGAUUAUAUGGGCUCAAGUUUGGAAACUUGAUUGCUUGCCGAUCGUUUCUACACUUGAACUCUUAUAAUUUGGUCGGUUCUGUGACAGAGUCCCCACACUGCAAACAGCCAUGUGAUGGGGAUCAUCUAGAGACCGUGGGCGGGAAGAUGCAUCUGCUUGGCAUAAAAUUGACACCCAUGGCACGAGCGUACGAGCUCGAUGGCGUCAGCUACGGCCGUUGGCCAGUAGAAGCCUUGUCGAAAAGCGUUCCCUAUGAGGGUCCGCAGACCAGCGUGGUGGCCACAAGCCCCCGAGUGUAGAUACUCGAGGAGCUUUCGGCCUUCCUCUAUGGUGAUGCAACGCUGCAAGAUUCCUGUCGAGCUUUGUCGAUAUAGUUCAUUAUCUUCGCCGUAGGUUACGUACGACUUGGCCCGUCGAGCGAUACGGCGGGCCUCGGGUCGAUCUUCUGGUAGCUCGCACCGAAUGAGACAGUUGAGGAACGGCGUGCGCCAGUCGAACGGUCGACCGGGUCACUGUUCCGCCUCCAUUACUUGUGCUGCCGCUAGCAGUUCUUCGAUGACGUUGGUUUGUUGGAGGGUGGUGGUUUCGACGUCAGCCCCCGACGUAUGGCUCAUGCAGAUCUCUCGAGAACGCGUCAGGCGGGACCGUGCCUUGAGUCGAUGCGAUCUUAGCGAGUUCGUCGGCUACCUCAUUGUAGCAUCGGGCGAUGUGGACGAGCUCGAGGCCGUGGAAUUUGUCCUUGAGCUGACGUACCUCCUUGCAGUACGCCUCCAUUUUUGGGUCAUGGCAGUUGGAGGCUUUCAUCACUUGGUCGAUGACGAGUUGGGAGUCGACUCGAACGUCGAGGCGCCGAACUCCUAGCUCGAUGGCGAUCUUCAGCCCAUUGACCGGGGCCUCAUAUUCCGCAACGUUGUUGGAUGCAGCAAAAUGUAACCUGAUGACAUACCUCAUAUGAACGCCCAGGGGCGAGAUGAAUAGCAGGCCCGCCCCAGCUCCUGUCUUCAUGAGAGACCCGUCGAAAUACAUCGUCCAUAGUUUCGCUUGAACUUGAGUCGGGGGGAGCUGGGAGUCCGUCCAUUCCACGACGAUAUCCACCAGAGCUUGAGACUUGAUAGCUUUGCGGGGCGCAUAAGUGAGGGUCUCACUCAUGAGCUCGACCAACUAUUUGGCGAUUCUUCCCGUGGCCACCCGACUUUGGAUGAUCUCACCCAAGGGGAAGGACGAGACCACCGUGAUAGGGUGGCCGAGGAAGUAGUGUUGCAGCUUGCGUCGGGCGAGGAUCACCGCGUAGACUAGUUUCUGGAUCUGCGGAUAUCGUGCGUUGGUCUCUGAGAGUACCUCGCUGACAAAGUAGACCGGCCUCUGGACCGGCAGCGCAUGUCUUCUUCCUGCCUUUCGACCACCACUGCCGCACUGACCACCUGGGUCGUCGAGGCGACGUACAGAAGCAGAGGUUCUGCGGGCUGAGGUGGGACCAGGACCGGGGCAGAGGUCAGCAUUUUCUUCAGGUUAUCGAGGGCUUCCUCGGCUUCGGGGGUCCAAGAGAAACACUCGGUUUUUUCAAGAGCCGAUAAAGUGGCAAUGCUUUUUCUCCCAACCUUGAGAUAAAACAGCUUAGCGCCGCUAGACAUCCCGUGACUUUUUGCACUCCCUUGACGUCUCAGAUCGGCCCCAUUGUCACAAUGGCCGAGACUUUUUUGGGAUUGGCCUCGAUGCCGCGUUGGGAAACUAUGUAACCCAGGAGCAUGCCUCGAGUUACGCCAAAGACGCACUUCUCAGGGUUGAGCUUGAUCUUGUUAGCGCGUAAGCAACUGAAAGCGAUCUCGAGGUCCUGAAUCAGGUAUCCUCAUUUCUUUGACUUGACAAUGAUGUCAUCGACGUAUGCCUCGACCGUCGAUCCUAUAUGUUUGCCAAACACGUGGAGCAUGCAUCGCUGGUAUGUUGCUCCUGCGUUUCGAAGCCCAAACGGCAUGGUUACAUAACAGUACAUCCCAAAAGGCGUGAUGAAAGAUGUCGCGAGCUGGUUGGACUCUUUCAUUUUUAUUUGAUGGUAACUAGAAUAUGCAUCAAGGAAAGAAAGGGUUUCGCAUCCCCCAGUAGAAUCAACAAUUUGAUCGAUACGUGGUAAUGGAAAAGAAACUUUUGGACAUACUUUAUUUUAACUUGUAUAAUCGACAUACAUCCUUAUUUUCCCAUUUUUUUUCUUAACUAGUAUAGGGUUUGCUAACCAGUCGGGAUGGUGAACCUCCUUGAUGAAUCCGGCCAUCAAAAGCUUGUGGAUCUCCUCACCAAUGAUCUUGCGUUUCUCCUCGUCGAAGCGAUGCAACCGUUGUUUCACUGGCUUGGAACCGGCUCGAAUUUCUAAGGAGUGCUCGGCGACUUCCCUUGGUAUGCCUGGCAUGUCCGAGGGUCUCCAUGCAAACUUGUCAGCGUUUGCACGGAGAAAGUCGACGAGCACGGCUUCGUAUUUGGGGUCGAGGUCGGCGCUGAUCUUCCGCACCUUGCCGUCGGAGUUGUUGGGGUCGAGUGGGAUCUUCUUCGUUCCUUCUGCCGGCUCAAAGCUGCCUGCGUGACUCUUGGGCUCUAGAAAAUCUGCGGCCAGGGCUUCAAGCUUCAAGGCGAGCUCAGUGGAUCUCUCGACAGCUUCCCCAUACUCGACGCACUCGACGUCGCACUCGUAUGCGUGCUCGUAGGAGGAGCUGACGGUGAUGACGCCCUUGGGUCCGGGUAUCUUCAGCUUCAGGUAGGUGUAGUUGGGGAUAGCCAUAAGCUUGGCAUAGCCCGAGUGCCCGAUGAUGGUGUGGUACGUGCCUCAGAAUCCCACCACCUCAAAGGUGAGGGUCUCCUUUCUAAAAUUGGCCGCUGUGGCAAAACAGACCGGUAAGUCGAUUCGACCUACCGGCAGCGCCUUCUUUCCUGGUACGACACCAUGGAAUCUGCCGACGCUUGGUUGGAGUUGCACCCUUUUGAUGCCGAGAAGGUCGAGGGUCUCACGGUAUAUGAUGUUUGUUGAUAUUUGGUAACACAAUAAGGAAAUGAUCCGCAAGCGCACGGAUAUCGGUGAGCAUUUCACCUAGGAGGUUUUCCAGAGUAUCGUAUUUAUAUUUUUACCACUAGGAGAAAGGGUGCAUCUGACUAACCAAAUCAAUUGCUACUAUCUCUUUAGGCUACAAAGAAUGUUUCUCGAUGUGAGUGAUGUAUAGAAAAGACUGCAACCAUAGUCUCGUUCUAAUCUUGGUAAGGAUGAUCUACUGUUUUAUUGGGGAAGCUUACGGAAUCUAGACACCACAAAGGAUGUUCGACCCGCACCUAUAAACCCUACCCAUCCUGCUAACAAGAUGUGGGAUACAAAGGGAACUCGGAAAUGUCACGUUCCUCGCUACUACCACGGUCCAGCUAGUCAGGGGAUAUCUAUGAGUACCCUAGCCUAAACACCACGUUUACGCUAGCAAUGAUUACUCAAAUACUCAAUCGGAAGAGGAUUAAAGUAAACUCAUAAACCAAAGAACAAUAAAACAAGAACUUACUAGAAUUAGAAGUCGAAUUACUGAAGAAUCUUAGGAGCAAGCCUCGGGUUAGAAGACUUGAUCCCGCAGGUACAACCUCGGAGUAGACACCGACAGGCCGGCCUUCCUCCGAUCUACACCUCCACUCUACCUCUCUCAAUCUAGUAGAAACUAGAAGAUCUAAUUCUACUCACAUUGGAUGCUAAGCCUAAAAUAAAUUUUAUUUAGAGGAGAGGUAUUCCUUUGAGGGCUCCUCUCAACUCUAUGAAAAACUUGUCUCCUCCAGGGGCCAGGGGGUCUGGUUUUAUAGUCCCCUCAAGUGAACCUAGGCCGUCAGAUCAAACCGACAUUGUUUGGACGGUUAUCCUUGAUCCUUUAGGUCGGUGGAGAGUAAUCCUCGAAGAGAGUCCUGUUUGGACUCCAAGUCAGGGCGGGCGCCCAGGGAAGGAGGGCGGGCGCCCUGCCUCUGGGCCCUUUCGGCCUCUACUUCCUUCCUGUGGCUUCUGGAGUCUUCUAGAUGGUAGAAAAUUGCGUUAUGCAUUGAUAUCUAUAUGUAAUCCCAACAUGUGGGCCUUUCUUCCGUAUUUCCUGAUAACCCCCUGCAAAAAUAGACAAACACCAAAACUCGUGGAAUUCUGUCAGAUAAAACCCUAAGUCUAGGUGUUGGUUGCAUUUGGAUCCUUUUCUUUAUUUAUUUGAUGAUUAUAUUUGGUACUUAAGGACCGUCAACAACUCCCCCAAGCUUACCUCUUGCUCGUCCCUGAGCAAGGAUGAACUCAAGAGUUUCUGCAGUGGUUUCAUGCCUUAAAAUUAAGAUCUUAUCUCUGAGUUAGAGUAAACUGUUAAGACUUAAAACUUACUCAUCUUACCUUUCAACAUUAGAACCGUCAAGUCAAGCGCCAUGUCUCUUAUUCUUGAUCAGCUAUAGCUCUGGAGUUUUUGCAGAUUUUCAAAUAAAACUCAGAGAUUCCUUGUAUGACUCUCUCAGAUCUCUCUUUUGUGGUAUUUCUGGAUCCUUACCAAGGCAGUAAUGGUAUAUGCCAUCUCUCAAAGUAUGUAGUAUUUGUGGUAUGAGGCAUAGUGAUAGUGCCUUCUCCCUCACCCUACUCUAAUAAGGUUUUGAUAUCUGGAGCUCAUAGGUGGGAGGCAGAUAGUACAUACUUACAAGACAUUUAUUGCAUAGUCAAACCAAGGAUCCAUAGAAACAAGCCAAUAAGUCAAAUCAAGAUGUGCAUGUGUAGCGAGUGAAUGGUGUAUGGUGAUGAUGGUGAUAACAAUGGUGAAAAUCUAAUUCUACUUUUGCUCUUUUGUGGGGAUACAUACCUUUCUUGCACUUUGAAGCUUUUUGGGGAGAAUGAGAUGCUCUAUAUUUUCUUUUUCUUUUCUCUCAGGUGGAUAUCUUGUACCUCUAAUUCUACUGUCGGGCACUAGUCCAUUUUUACCUCUCGUCUCACUUUUUCUUUUCUUCGAGGUUCCAGGCACUUGCCCCUUUUUAUUUCCUCGUAUCCUCUCUCUUUUUUUAGAGCACUCACCUCCUGAAAUAAUAUAGCAAGUGGUAGUAACCAAGAUAACUCUUGCAUUUAUUUCACAGGGAAUAAUAGUGAUAGGAAAAUAUUUUUGGCUAUUCUCUCCUGGAUAGGAGUAGAAUAAUUUUGGGUGGCUCUGGAGAUGGAAGUGAGUGGAUAUAUGUGGAUGCGUACUUCCGGAGUAGAAGCAGCAUGUAUGAGUGAAUGUGCAAGUGAAUCUUGAUUUUAACCACAUGACUAGCUCCUAAGGGUCUACACAGCUUGACCACACUCAAUGCUCAUAAGCAGUAAAAAGUAAAUGUGUGGCUCAAAGUCUAGCAAGCAUGUCUAUAUGGCUGUGGUAGGAUUUUAAACUCUCAUCAUACAAGAACUCAUCAUGUGAUAUUUUAAAGAUUUUUCAAAGAUAAAAUUCUCCAGAAUUCUAGCAUCUCUAGGAACAGAUAAACAGCAGCUCAACCUUCCCAUAACACAUCCGUUAACAACUUAGACUUUAGAUAAAGUACUCUUCCCACAAGUUCAGGUUUAGAGCAAAUUUUAAUUCAUAACAGUAUGCGUAAACUUGAGAGAGAUUUCAAUUUUGAGAACUAGUCAUGGCAGAGCAACUAUUCAUCAUUUCCAUGUGAGAGCUUAUCACGAGGGUUCAUAGCAAACUUUAUUUAUUUAUUUAUUUAGCAAACUAAGCAAAGAUAUAAAAGCACAAAAUCUUUAUUUGGGUUUUUUUAUUAUGCAUCUUUUUAUUAUUUGAGUAAAGUAUAAACACGAGUAGAAACACAUAGCUGGAUAAAUGGGGGUGCUCUCCCUCAAGCUAGAUUUUGACGUAAUUUCUUCUGAUGUAGCUAGCAGGUGGCGGAGGUGUAUUUGAAUGUCAGCAGAACCCUGACAGCGAGUAGGAUGUCCUCCGUCUGCUAGUCUUCUUUGAUCCUUGAAUUCUGUGGAGCUCAAAUAGACAACAAAGUUUGUGGAACUGAUUAGGUGUUAGCAUAAAUAUCUAGCCUUUAUCAUGUUGAGCCUCCUCGAUAAAUAUUAUUUAUUUAGCAGGAUCAUGCACUUAUUAUUUUUAACAUUUUUAUUAUAAGAUGAAAACAUAUUUAUUUUAUGCCACCAUAGUUAAUGUACCUAUGGGUUUUAUGCCAUGAGCAUACUCACAUGGGGCUUACUAUUUUUUAACAUUUUUAUUUUCCUUUCGAGAUGAUAUGAACCUGAUUAACUAAGCAAACUAUUGAAAGGAAAAGGAUAACUAGCAAGUUUACCUCUUGGCAAGGCGUUCGGUGUUUUUAAGUCCUCCGAAUGGGACUCUCCGUUUUCUCAGUCGUCCUGGGAUUCGCUGGAUGGUGUAGUUGGUGGUUCCGGCGGCGCCUCUUCUUCGUGUAUAACUAUCUUCUCUCUCCAUACCAGACUCGGUGCUACGGUCUCCUCAGGACAGUUCUGUUCAAGCUGUAUGUCUUCAGACCUUAUCACUUCUCCUUUGUAAUCUACCCAUCCGUCCUUGAUGAUUUGCCUCCUCUGGUUUCGGUUGUGUCGCCUUCUUCUUGUCUGACCUGCUUAGAGUCUUCAACUAUAUAGUUAAGGUGAGUAAAAUAGCGGCGUACCUUCUCAGAUGGGAAGUGCAUGUGGACUUCUCCAAUUCCAAUAUAGAUGAUGGCUUUGAUAGUGUUGAGGAACGGUCUUCCAAAGAUGAUGGGUGGAUCGUACUCGUUUUCUCCUAUGUCAAUGACCUGAAAAUCAUCUAGAGCUGAAUGUAUGUUGGUUAUGGUUCCAUGCAGGAGCUGAUAAGUGACUGCGGCCAUUAUGUUGACGUAGAUCCGGUGUCGUAGAGUGUCUUCUUAAAAGAGUAUCCAUUGAUUGUGCACUCGAUGCUUGGAACACCAGGGUCGUCCUUCUUGAUCAGGAAAGGCGACUUGAGUCGAUGAUGUUGACCUCUUCCGAUAAGGAUCCAAUGUUUUAAGUCUUCUGGACAAGACUUCUCACCGUCUUCAUCCUUUAGGUGCAUCAUUUGAUUAGGUGUGGACCUUGACGUCUGCACUUCUUGAUACGGUGUCACCCAUGUUCUUCGUUUGCCUAGUAGUUCAAAGUGAAGUGUUGGCAAUAUCCUGCUUAGUGUGUUUGUGCUCGUAGAUCCAGAUCCUUCACUUGGUGUAGUCUGGGAGUUGUAAAACUCCUCCAUGUUUUGCUUGAAGUGUACCUGUUCAUAGAGACAAGGCAGAGAUCAAGUGCAUGGGCCCUGUUGGUGAAAAACACAAACAAAACCAAAAGUGUAUUUGUUCUUCUUUAACCUUAAGCAUAGUGAGCAAGACAAAGUUGAUGGAUCAUGAGUAUAGCAUGUGUCAGAUCAGAUGGCUCAACCUAAUGGAAAGAUAAUCUAUCUAUAUUUAUGUUUUGUUUAUAUCUUCCAAAUAUUGAAUGUGCAACAUUUUAGCUUAUAUGAUUAGGAGUGUGGGAUCACGAAGGUAGUACUAAGAACAAAGAUUAAAGGACUAAACAUGUUGAAUUAAUUGGGUUGGUUAAUUUGAAGUUACAAAUCAUACAUGUUUGUCUCUUUAUUUUAUGUGAACGCCAGAAUCAAGGAGAAACUUAUAAAAGCAAUAGUCAAGUACCUUAAGAUGUUACCUUAGUUGAAGAGUGAUGGUAUAGUAUCACUUUGUGGAAGCUUUCCUUUCUUAGCGGUUGUGCACUGUGUUUGUGGCAUUCUUUGUCUCGUUCCAUGAAUCAUCUCUUUAUGAUGAAUGAGCUAUGUCCUUCUUGUGCAAAUUGUUAAACUUCAUGUGUCUCCUUUAUCUCCAAUGUGAGUUUGUAUCUCAAGACUUCCCUGGUUGAUAUUGAAAGUUUUCCUACAGGGGUUAGUCCAACAAAAUAUCCAAUAUCUACUAUAGCAUACUAUUGGCUCAAAAAUCAACCUAGACACCAUGUCUAAUUUGAUUUAGGAGGGCAUUUUAACCUAAGAACCAUGCUUAAUUGAAAAAUCCUUUGGAAAUAAGAUCAUCAUUCCUAAACUAAGCACCAUGCUUGAUUUAAGAGAUAAAUGAAACUACUCCAAACCUAGACAUAUACUAAAGCAAAUAAAGGUGGCAUGAGAGCAUUUAUAGAGAUCUACUCAAGUGAAGGUGAAGUAGUGUAAUUAGUAUUUAACAAAUUGAGCAUGUCUCAAAGGUAAGGACAACCAACAUAGCAACAUGGCAAAUGAUGUUUUUAUGUAAAGUACUCCCACAAGCUUGAAUUUUGCAAAAUUCAAGAUUGGAUGAAUUUAAUCCAAUGUUGUGUGAUGGUUGGUUGGAGAUACGUUGUGCUUGUCAUUCAUCCAAUCUUCUUGCUCCAAUCGUGGAAAGGUUAGUGACAAGAGUACCCGAAGGAAUAUUUCUACAAUUAUCUUUAUAUGCUCAAUACAUAAGGCAAUGUUGCAAAUAAUUAGAAGUUCAUGUUACAAUCUGAUAAGUGCUUGUUUUAGGAUACUAAGCUCGUCCUUGGGAAACCAUCAAUCAACUCAACGAGAUCUGCAAUAUUUAUUAUAGACAUAUGCAUCGACAACCACCCCUUUAAAGUUUUUAUAAAUAGAAAGGAAGAGAGGGUUGGAGAUCUCAAAUGUGGUGAGGAUGGAGAGACCAAUUGAUUGGUGAGAUGUUUUAUGUGAGCAAGGACUUGGUGAGAUAUUUAUGAAAUAACUUCCAUGCUCGCUGUUGUUUCUCUCAUUCUCAAACUCCAAGGAUGAAUCUUCAUGAAUGUUUAAAAUUCCUCUAGGAUUGUCUCUCAAGUUUGUUUUAUCUAUCCAUUCAAUGGUGAUAGCACAUGGAUUUUUAAUGCCUUCUAGCCAUUGAUGUUGCUUUUCUCGAUCCUCCUUGUGGUCUUGGUGACUCUUAUGAAUGGGAUUUCUAGAGAGAUUCAUAGGAUCAUCAGGAGGUUCAAGAGAAAGAGAAGAGUAGAAAUUAUUAAGCUCAAGGAUGGGUUGGAUAGCCGAAUCAUGGGAUUGAAAUGUUUGGAAAUUGGCUAUGGAAACUUCCUUUCCUUGUUUGGGAGAUGAUUCCUUCUCUAUCUCUAAGAUUUUUCUAUGAAGACUAGUACAAGAAGGAUGUCCACGAAUGAAGAUAUACCUUGCUUUACUAACAGAUAAAGAAAGAAAAACUCUAUUGAAGGGUAUAUGAUUAAGACCAAUGUGAAAAUAUCGAGAAAAAACAUGGUCUUGUAGGGCUAGGUUUAAACCAGAAUUUAUAGAAAGAUUAACAGAUUCCCUAGGUGUAGAAAAGGGUUGGUUUUGACCUAUUGCAGUCAACUCCGGACACAGAUCAUAAUUAGGGGCAGGACUUGUUGACUCCCAUGGUCUAUGGCUGGUCUCCGAAGGUGCAAAGAAUUCAAUAAUAGGUAUGGAAUUUAAGUUAUCCAUAAAGUUAAAAAUAAAAAGAUAAAAGAAUAAAAGUAUAAAAGUAUAAUACAAGAUAAUAGCAAGACUCAAAGUUAUCUCAGCAAACCGUCUUUCUCCCCGGCAACGGCGCCAGAAAUGCUUGUUGAUAUUUGGUAACGCAAUAAGGAAAUGAUCCGCAAGCGCACGGAUAUCGGUGAGCAUUUCACCCAGGAGGUUUUCUAGAGUAUCGUAUUUAUAUUUUUACCACUGGGAGAAAGGGUGCAUCUGACUAACCAAAUCUAUUGCUACUAUCCCUUUAGGCUACAAAGAAUGUUUCUCGCUGUGAGUGAUGUAUAGAGAAGACUGCAACCGUAGUCUCAUUCUAACCUUGGUAAGGAUGAUCUAUUGUUCUAUUGGGGAAGCUUACGGAAUCUAGACACCACAAAGGAUGUUCGACCCGCACCUAUAAACCCUACCCGUCCUGCUAACAAGAUGUGGGAUACAAAGGUAACUCGGAAAUGUCACGUUCCUCGCUACUACCACGGUCCAGCUAGUCAGGGGAUAUCUAUGAGUACCCUAGCCUAAACACCACGUUUAUGCUAGCAAUGAUUACUCUAAUACUCAACCGAAAGAGGAUUAAAGUAAACUCAUAAACCAAACAACAAUAAAACAAGAACUUACUAGAAUUAGAAGUCGAAUUACUAAAGAAUCUUAGGAGCAAGCCUCGGGUUAGAAGACUUGAUCCCGCAGGUACAACCUCAGAGUAGACACCGACAGGCCGGCCUUCCUCCGAUCUACACCUCCACUCUAUCUCUCUCAAUCUAGUAGAAACUAGAAGAUCUAAUUCUACUCACAUUGGAUGCUAAGCCUAAAAUAAAUUUUAUUUAGAGGAGAGGUAUUCCUUCGAGGGCUCCUCUCAACUCUAUGAAAAACUUGUCUCCUCCAGGGGCCAGGGGGUCUGGUUUUAUAGUCCCCUCAAGUGAACCUGGGCCAUCAGAUCAAACCGACAUUGAUUGGACGGUUAUCCUUGAUCCUUUAGGUCGGUGGAGAGUAAUCCUCGAAGAGAGUCCUGUUUGGACUCCAAGUUUGGGCGGGCGCCCUGCCUCUAGGCCCUUUCGGCCUCCGCUUCCUUCCCGUGGCUUCUGGAGUCUUCUAGAUUGUAACACCCUCGGUGUUAAGCAUGCACUUAGUCUUAUCAAAGUCAUGCAUAAGCAUUCCCAUCAAGCAUAAGCAUCAUGAGCAUGUCAUUCUUUUCAAAAUAUGAUUUUAUGUGCUUCAUUUCAUGAGUUUUAAAUAUGCUAAAACUAUGAUACUUGCUUCUAAAAUUUGUGAAAUAUUCAAACUAGGUUGAUUUAUGUGUAAGAAGAAUUUAGAGUAUUUUUGUGUAAUUUUUGGAGCUAUAGAAUUUGAGAAAUGGAAUUUAUACAAAAUAUCCAAAAAGAAUUUAUUUAAAACCUAGAACUAAGUUUUGAUUUGUAAUUCAAAUUCUAUUUAGAAUUUUGUCUCGCUUAUUAAAGCAAAGUUGUAGAGUUUUUAGCUUGGAACAACUUUGCCUUUCGGAGAAAGUGGUGAAAAUGAUUUGAAAAUAGCCAAAAUGAAUUGAGAACAGAAUUUGAGAAAAGAAAUUCAAAAAAAAUAUAUAGAAAAGGGAAAAGGGGGCGCUAGCAGGCCGCGGCCUCACUUCUGGCCCGCUGGCCGAAGCCGGCCCGGCCCGCCCGCGCCUUCCCCUUCCCCUUCCCCGCGCUCGCGCCCGCGUCCGCGCGCGGACGGCCGCUCGGUGCCGCCGUGGCGCGCCGGCAGAGCCUGGCCGCCGCGUGGCGAGCAUGCGGCAGCGAGGACGCGUCCCGGUCGGCCACCAGAAGCGCUCGGCUGCACCCGCCUCUGCCCCCUCUUCCAUUCGCGCCCCUCGGCCCUCGCUCUCUCGCUCUCUCGCCCUCGCUCUGCACGCGCAGAGCGCCGCCGUCGCCAUUGGAGCCCGAGCUCCGCCUCGGCCGUUCCUCCCCCGUGCGUGCGCCAUUCUGCGAUUAGUUCUCCCCCGAGCUCCGCCCUCGCUCCGCCGUUGCGGAACACCCGUCCGAGCGCUCGGUAGGGCACGGUGAGCCCCCGGUCGCUCUCGUUUCCUUCUCCAGCGAGAGCUCCGCCGCCGCGCACGUGAUCCGCGCGUCUCCAUGCCUUCCGGUGCUGCGUAGUUGGCGCACUGUGCUCGCCUUGGCACCGCGAUGCUCACGAGCCACUCCAGCCACGCUCUACUGGGCCAGCGUCCCGUGCCGACGGUGAGCAGCGCCGCCGCUCCGCCAUGGCCGGUGGCGAGCCUGCUCUGGUCCGUUUUAGGCCACGCAAAUGGGUGCGCUAGGUCCGCCGUGAGCCGUAGAGCGUGUAGAGCCGCUUGAUUCGCCGAAAGGGGUCGCCGACGGUGAGCUCCGGCCUCCCGUCUGCGUCCUGACCAGUGGGCCCGGCUGGCAGGCGGGUCCGCUCGUCAGCGACCGCGGGUGCACUGCACCGGGUGCACCUAGCCGUCUCGGGGUGGAUGACAGGUGGGGUCAUCUGACUCGCGUGUCCCGCCUGUCAGUGACUCCGAGGGUUUGAAUCCGAGUGCGCUUAGCGUUUUAGGUUGUUUUCCGUUUUAAAAGUUUUUCUAGAAAAUGGGUUAUGUAUUCAAAAAUCCAUAUCUUGAGGAAUAUAGCUCCAAAAAUUGUGAAAUAAAUUUUGGUGUGUUCCCUAUUUCCAGAUCUAUAGCCUAGUAUGUCUGCAUGUCAUGUUUGAGUAACUUUUCUGUAUGAAAAUAUUUAAUCCAUGUUUUUGCUAAACUUGGAAAAUGCAUAGUAAAUAAAAUAUGGCUCAGAAAAAUGUGAAAUUUGUUUUGUUGGCUCUGCAUGUGUGUUUACUCACUGGGAAAAUAUUGUUACAUAUUAUUUGGUGUAUAAAUGAAUUUAUGGUAAUUUAAAUGCUUGCAUGGCAGUGAUUUAUGAUUUUUAAUAAUUAAUUGGGUCAUGCAAUAAAUCUGGAAAAUUUUGUGGGUAUUUCUUAUGAUAUUAGACAAAUGGUAAAAAUAUGAAAUCUGUUGUUUGACAUUUAUAUCAUUUGGAGUAAUUAUACUUACUUUAUUAAUUAAUCUUGUUAUUUUUGUGGCUCAAAAUAAGUAUCCAAAAAUUAUGAAUGGUUGUGUAUAUAGGUUGAAUGGAAUAAGUUGGGUUUGGUGUAUCUUUGAAGCAUCAUGUGGGUUGCUGGUUGCAUUUGAAAAAUAAUUGUAGAAGAGAAUGCAAUAGAUGUUUGAUUCAGUUGAUUGCUCUUGGAGGUUGUUGACUACCUUGUAAUGAGCAUGACCAAGCGUAUCACUUAUGCAUCAUGUCAUGACUCCUUUAGUACCUUCUCAUACAAGCAUCCACUCGGGCACCUCGCACUCCACUCAUAAGCACACAUGCAUCAUACAGGCUCGCAGGAGAACGAAGUGGGACCCGAGGAGCCAGAGGAGAGUCAGGAGCAGGAACCUCCGGAAGCACAGGAACCCGGAGAGGAACUGCAGGAGUGUCCAGAUCACCGACCCAGCACGUUUGAGAAAGGCAAGCCCCGGAGCAUUCUAAGUCUCCCUAUUCUCGCUAACUUAUACAAAGCACUAUACUUGUUCUACUAUAUUGCAUUUAAGUGAUAGGAAUUGCUCGAUACCGUUGAUGCAUAUGUACUUCUUGUUAUCCUUACUCGUUCACCUACCUUGUCCUAUGUAGAUAGGCACGGAGUCUAUGCUUAGCUUGCUUAGUCCGGUAGAAGUCGGGUGAUUCCCUGUCACCUGCGAGAUAUAGGUGGAUACCUGCUUGAUUAAGCAGUAGUUGCUUGGGGAAAGGAAUAACCAAGUGUGGAAUGUAAUUGGAGACCGGGCAGGGUCUUAUGGUGGGUUGACCGUAGUGCCCCUGCCUGUGUCGAUUAAGGACCGAUCGUUGACGGCCCUCUUGUCAUGUUUAACGCAUGCCCCACAUUUAGCUGGAAGGAUAAGUCAUUCUGACCGCGAAGCCUGCGCACUAUCCGGGCCGGGAAUCGGCCCGAUGUACGCGCUGUAUUGGUGAUGGUUGAGGAGAACGACGAGGGCGCGGCGCGCAACCUUGGUAUACCUUGGAUACCUCGGUCGCCGGAACGGUCCUCGGGUACGGGCGGUGCCUGUCGAACCCGCGAAUUGGUCCUGGAUAGUGCAAUACGGUGAUCUGUAGCUCACUUGAUCAGUGAGUGUGGUUUGUGUGGGGAAUAAACUCGCCAGCUGGUUAGAAAUCGAUUCAAAUCGCCAUCGCUCCUGGAUAGUGAGCACUUGACAUGAGCCCUGUCCUCGUAGUAAGGACUAUGGAACACUUGGGUUAUAAUGAUGAAUGGUUUUAAGAAAUGCUAUGAUGAGGUACUAUCAUAGUCUUAUACUUGCUUGUAAUAGUGCAGGUGCAAACCUAGAUGAUAGGUAAUGAUACUUUCAACUUGAGCAAAUUAAAAGAAGAAAGACUUAUGUAGGUUAUGAUAGUGAAAUACUGCGGUUUUGCAAAAUGGUUGUCAGCUACCCCACUAUAUAGCCUUCAUGAUCCUUGAUGAGUCUUUAUUUUAAGUUUAUGACGGGUAAGUCUAGCUGAGUACCUUCUCGUACUCUGGGUUCUACUCCCAUGUUGUUUUGUAGAUGGUCAAAUGUAUUAUGGUUAUUGCAUCCUCUGUCUGUACCCAGCCAUGGGUGAUGACUAGACCAAGGGCGAUGGUCACUCCAUCUUCUCUUUUGCUUUUGUGACAAUGACCGAACUAUGGCACUGUAUCAGACUAAGUGUGUGUGUUGUAUUUUCGAAUUAUGAAGCUUCCGCUACUUGAAGAACUUGGUAUUGUAAUAACUUUAAGUACUCCGAUGUAUUUUAUAAAUGUUGUAAUCUGGAUGUAUUGUGGAUGGCGACCGCUAAACUUAUUACGAUCUUGGCUGUUGUACGAUGUGUGGUUUGAAAUCCUUCGAGAUUUCACGGACUACCGGGAUUAUAUGGGCUUAAGCCUGAUGGUUUGACUAUGCAAAUGGUCACUGUUAGGCUUAAUCUCUUAUAAUUUGGUCGGUUCUGUUACAGCUGGCAUCGGAGCAAGGUUUAGCGAGUUACUGUUCAUAAGUACGUUCUAAACAAAAUCUAAACCGGUCUAAUGAAGGAUUUUAGUAAUUAAUAAAAAUCAAGGUGUUAAACUAAUUUUUGGAAAACUAUCUAGUGUGCCAUGGUCAUAUCCUUUAUGCCCAGUUAAGGACUCUAAGGUGGCUAGUUAAGUACUGACUUGGGGGUGAAUGCAUCAUAUUUUUGUUUCAUCGCUCAUACGGCGUGCAAUAGUAUGAGUGCCAUUCAUUUGAGUGGUAAUGUAUGGAUCCAUUUUUCCUCUACGCCACGGUAAGUGGGAGCUGUGAGAGCAUGAUCGGAUACACUGCCGGUCUAGGGGAGUGUUGCUAGGUAUUGUGUCAUGCACACAUGUUGGUGUGUCUUGGGAACAGUACCGCAUGUUGCGAAUUCCGUCCUGAGAGGCGAUGCCGUCAAUAGGGCGAUGAUGUGGGUAGUGACACGUCACAUGCAUGGACGGGUGUUUGUGUAUGUGAAGUGCAUAGUUAAAAAUUCUUGUUCUGCACGAUCAUACUGUGGGUGGGCUGAAAUGAGUUUUCUGCAGGUACACUAACCACGUUCUCGCUUAGAACGCUAGUUACGUUAUGAGAGAACGUUGUGUGCCACCGCAUAUACCGCUUAGUGUUAACCUUUGUUUCUAAGUUCGUGAGAUCGUAAGUUCGUGCAUGCGUCAUGUUCAUUUCAUAUCAUUGCUUACUUUCCCCCUUAAUUUAAUCUGUCCCAAUUCUAAAUAAAAUAAUUAAAGUUAAUCCUCGCUCUUACCCACAAUAUUCCAUUUGCAGCAGAUGGCACGCACUAGGCUCACCGCUCGCAAGUCCACUGGUGGGCGGGCCCCUCGCCAUCCGUUGGCAGCUAGGAGCUCGCGACAUAAGAGCAAGUUCCUAGAGUAGUUUGGGAUGCCCACUUUGCUUUAUAGGGUGCUCAGUUCGAUGGGGUAUCCCGAAGAAAGGGAGCCUCGCUACUAUUGGGAUAAGGAGCCGCUUGGUGACGAGACCUUGGUGGGGAUUGAGGCAGUUGUCCCUACCAGUGGAGGAGACCCUGCUUGGGGCGGUUGGGUGUACGAGUCCCGAGGUGUCACGCCUUUCCACGGUGCCAGCAGGGCAGCUUUCGUAGUUCUGAGGGACCUCAUGGAGAGGUUUCCCCAGGAGCUGGCCCACGCCUUCGCGGGGGUGUUUCCCCGGGGUGACCCCUACACUUCGGUGUGGGAUCAGUCCGAGGUGAAUGCUCUAGAGAGGAGUGCGGAUGAGGACCAGCACAGUGACAGUGCAGCUAUGAGUGCCAUGUACGCGUUGAUGAAGACCUAUGGAGGCCUAGAGCGUUGUUUGGGUCGCUUGUCCGGGUCUCUUCUCACCGUCCAGGAUGAGAAGCAUCAGUUGCAGCGUGAGUUCGACUCUGAGGUUGAGAGGCUAUAGGCAGAGUUGGCCCGUGUGACCAGAGAGAGACUAGGCAGUCCAGAAGAAUAGUGAGCUGAGUCAGGAUCUGCUUGCAGUACGGGAGCAGAAGGACAGGGUGACUACUGCUCACAGGAACAGCGAGCGCAUGCUAGUCCAUGUGCUUGGACAGAGGAAUGAAGCCUGGCACGAGGAGGACACUUUGAGGGCCCGACAGCUGGAGCUAGAGCAACAGCUAGCUAAUGCUGAGGAGUACAAUGAGAACUUGCAUGAGGAGAUCCACCAGCUGCAUAACCAGCUCCACCCUCACCACCUGCCUGGAGCAGCGGAGCUAGACUCUGGAGACGAGAUGGACGCGGAUCCCGAGAUAGGAGCAGCUGCUAGUGGAGAUGAGGAUGAGGAUGGCUCCGGCAUGGACAGUGACCAUAGCGAGCAGAUGCUAGGGCUCUAGAGCUAGUCCUUCUUCUUAUGUUGUUGUAUGUUGCAUGGCAUGUCGUGUACUUUUGGAUCUGGGCUAUGUAAGACUUUAUGAGUUAAUGCUGAAAGUCCAGUGUAUGUAUGCUGGCAAGUUGGAUGUACGCGAACCUUGUUGCGUGAAUGUUGAGUAAUCUGUUAGUGAUGUUGUGCGUAGAUGAUGAAUUGUUGUGCCUCUGUUUAUUGUGCGAAUUUAUUCCCUCAGUAAAUUCAGUACGGCAUGAUUCUACACAUUUCUACCGAUUGAUGGCAACUCCUAACGAUUGCUUAUCAUUGGCGUAUGCAGAUGGUGCAAACACGUGGCGGGGGUAACAGCAAUCCGGGUCUUGGAGCAGGUACAUCCGGAGGUGGGGCUCAACGGAAUGAGGACAGAGCACCAACACCGCCCCCACCACCGCCUCCUCCGUACACUGCGGACGUGUUUUUCGCGCAGUUUCUGGGGAGCCAACGCAACAUGGAACAGAUGCAACGCAACAUGGAAGAGGCUCUGCGCAACAUAGCUGACAACACCUGUCGUGGGGAUAACCAGGGCGGCCGUGAAGUCAACCAGUACAGUUCGUUCAAGGACAUCAUGGAUACCAAGCCACCAAUCUUCAAAGAGGCUUUGGAACCGCUCGAAGCAGAUGAGUGGAUCAACACCAUGGAGCAGAAGUUUCGUCUUCUCCAAAUGACAGAAGAACUCAAGGCUGAGUAUGCGGCACAUCAGUUGCAAGGACCUGCUGGGAUUUGGUGGUCCCAUCACCGUACCACCUACCCAGAGGGGACCCAAUUACCUGGAACCGCUUCACCACCGCUUUUCGGGGAAAUUAUAUUCCUCCGGGUGUGGUUGAAAUUAAGGUUGGGGAGUUCAUGAGGUUGUCCAAGGGAACGAAAUCGGUAAAGGAGUAUCUACAUGCUUUCAAUAAUCUCGCUCGCUAUGCCCCUGAGUUUGUAAACACGGAGGCUAAGAAGAUUGCUAGUUUCCAGAGGGGCUUGAAUCCAAAGAUGCUGAAGACCAUGGGUACAGGGGCCAGGGCUACCUUCAAUGCUUACAUCAGUGACUGUCUCACCCAGGAGAACAACAACAACAACUACAGUGCAUCCAAGUCACGUAAGAGGGCUUUUGAAGCCGGAUCAUCUCAGUCUAGGGCACCAGUGGUAGGGCGACACCAGUAUCGUCCUCCUGCCCCAGGUGCUAGGUUCCGACCACUGCAAAGAAGGAACAUCGGGCAUCGAACACAGCAGAAGCCGUACAAGGUUGCGAUAGCCCAUGCCAAGCCAAAGGCAAUUCAAGCUGCAGCACCUGCCGUUAACAAUGCGCCCAAGGGUCCGUGCUAUAACUGCCACAAGAUGGGGCACUUUGCUAAGGAAUGUCCCUACCCCAAGAGGCAGCAGCCAACCUAUCCAGCUCGUGUGCACCAUACCUCGAUCGAGGAGAUCCCGGAAGGAGAACCGGUAACAGCUGGUAUGUUCUCUGUCAACCAACAUCUUGCAGUUGUUUUGUUUGAUUCUGGAUCAUCGCAUUCAUUCAUGAGCCAAGCAUUUGCACAAAAGCAUGAUCAGUCAGUUACUGAGUUAGGUUAUGGCUAUCGCAUCAGCUCAGCCGGAGCCGAUGUGUUGACUAAUAAAACAGUAACAGGAGUUACUUUGGAUAUCAGUGGCCGGAGGUAAACCCUAAACCUUGUGGUCAUGCCAGGACUGGUUUUGGAUGUCAUCAUUGGAAUGAACAAGAUGACUGACUGGGGCGCGGUUAUAGAUGCCGGGAAUAGAACUCUUUCCCUUAGAGACCCGCAAGGGAAGGGUGUGCUUCAGGUCAAGCUACCCAGACGGUUGGACUUCGCCAGUCUUUCGUGUGUAGUACAGGUAGUUCCACUAGAACACAUACCCGUGGUAUGUGAGUUCCCUGAUGUGUUUCCUGAGGAUUUACCAGGACUUCCCCCAGAUAGGGAAGUGGAGUUUGCAAUCGAGUUGAUGCCGGGUACAACACCAAUAUCUAGAAGGCUGUAUUGGAUGCCCCCAAACGAACUCGUUGAGUUGGAGAAUCAACUAAAAGAAUUACUGGAUAAAGGGUUCAUCCUGCCAAGCUCGUCGGAAUGGGGUUGUCCAGUGUUGUUUGUGAAAAAGAAGGAUCAAUCGUUGCGCAUGUGCGUGGACUAUCGUCCACUCAAUGCCGUGACAAUCAAGAAUAAGUAUCCCUUGCCAAGGAUUGAUAUCUUAUUUGAUCAGUUGUCCAAGGCAAAAGUGUUUUUCAAGAUAGAUUUGAGGUCUGGGUAUCACCAAAUCAAGAUUCGUCCGCAAGAUAUCCCGAAGACUGCUUUUUCCACCAGAUAUGGGUUGUAUGAGUAUCUUGUCAUGUCCUUUGGAUUGACAAAUGCUCCUGCAUACUUUAUGGAUCUGAUGAAUUCAGUCUUUAUGCCAGAGUUGGAUAAGUUUGUUGUGGUGUUUAUCGAUGAUAUUCUGGUUUAUUCAGAAAAUGAACAAGAUCACGUCGAGCAUCUGAGAAUCGUGCUGACACGAUUACGAGAGCAUCAGUUAUAUGCCAAGUUCAGCAAGUGUGAAUUCUGGUUAAAGAGAGUUCCUUUCCUAGGGCACGUUCUGUGUGAAGAAGGGAUUACUGUGGAUCCAUCAAAAGUGCAGGAAGUCAUGGACUGGAAGGCACCAACUUCUGUCUCGGAAGUUAGAAGUUUUCUUGGUCUGGCCGGGUAUUAUCGUCGUUUCAUACCUGACUUCUCCAAGAUUGCUAAGCCAAAGACAAGUUUGCUACAAAAGGAUCACAAGUUUGUCUGGACGGAAGGGUGUGAGUUAGCCUUCCGCACCUUGUGAAAGUUGCUAACCACUGCUCCUGUUCUGGCACAACCUAAUAUAGAAAAGCCUUUUGAUGUGUUUUGUGACGCAUCGAAGAGUGGCCUGGGGUGUGUGUUGAUGCAAGAUGGCAGGGUGAUAGCUUAUGCUUCCCGACAGUUGAGAAAGCACGAAGUCAACUACCCAACGCACGACCUCGAGUUAGCAGCAGUAGUGCACGCUUUGAAGAUUUGGAGACAUUAUCUGCUGGGAAAUAAGUGUCACAUUUAUACCGAUCAUAAGAGUUUGAAGUACAUCUUCACUCAGUCCGAGCUAAAUAUGAGGCAACGAUGGUGGUUAGAGUUAAUCAAGGACUACGAUUUGGAAGUUCAUUAUCAUCCAGGCAAGGCUAAUGGGGUAGCAGAUGCUUUGAGUCGUAAACCGCACUAUCAAGUGGUUCGACCGUUGUUUGAAAAUGGUUUCAAUCUCAUGCAUCCUGAAGUCUUAUGUCAUAUACAACUCUGUUGUUCACUCGAGAGUCAAGUCAUUGAAGGGCAGAAAUCAGACAAGGGUAUUUUCCACAUCAAAGAAAAGAUCAAAGAUGACCCAAAAACUCAGUUUCGAGUUGAUGAGAAGGGGGUACUGUGGUUUCGACAUUGGUUAGUAGUCCCGAAAGAUCGGGAAUUGAAGAAUCGCAUCAUGGAUGAAGCCCAUCUCUCUAAGCUCUCUAUUCAUCCUGGCAGUAGCAAAAUGUAUCAAGAUCUAAGACCCCACUUUUGGUGGACCAAGAUGAAGAAAGAAAUAGCUGCGUAUGUGGCCCGUUGUGACACAUGUUGCAGAGUUAAGGCCAUCCAUAUGAAACCUGCAGGUCUGUUACAACCGUUAUCCGUUCCAGAGUGGAAAUGGGAAGAGGUCAGUAUGGACUUUAUCACGGGUUUACCAACGACAAGGAAGGGGAAUGACUCGAUUUGGGUAAUCAUAGAUCGACUGACCAAAUCGGCCCAUUUCAUUCCUGUGAUUACCCGCUACCGACCUCCUGAGUAUGCCGAUAUAUAUAUGGCUGAGAUUGUCAAGUUGCAUGGUAUUCCCAAGACCAUCAUAUCAGAUAGAGGACCACAGUUCACCGCUCACUUCUGGGAGCGCAUGCAUAAGAGUUUGGGGACCAGUUUGAUAAGAAGCACGGCAUAUCAUCCCCAGACUUCAGGCCAAACUGAGAGGUUAAAUCAAGUGUUAGAAGAUAUGCUGAGGGCCUAUGUGCUAUCAUCCAAGGGAUCAUGGGAGUCGUGGUUACCUCUGGCUGAAUUCUCCUACAAUAACAGUUAUCAAGAGAGCAUCAAGAUGGCCCCGUUCGAAGCUUUGUAUGGUCGGAGAUGUCGAACUCCGUUGAACUGGGUUGAACCUGGUGAAAGAAGAUACUAUGGUAUCGACUUUGUGAAUGAAGCGGAGAAAAAGGUGCAGAUCAUACAACAACAUAUGCAAGCGGCACAGUCACGACAAAAGAGUUAUGCUAAUAAGAGAAGAAGGCCACUUGAAUUCAAUAUAGGUGACUAUGUGUACCUCAAGGUUACGCCAAUGAAGAAAGUUCAACGUUUCCGAGUUCGAAGCAAGCUUGCACCCAGAUAUGUCGGACCGUACCAAGUGCUAGAGAGGAAAGGCCCAGUGGCCUACAAAAUUCAGUUACCUGAAGAGUUGAGCUCGAUCUUUCCGGUCUUCCAUGUGUCGCAACUGCGGAAAUGUCUGAAGGUACCUGAACAAAGAAUUGAACCUCGAGGAAUCAAGAUAAAAGCAGACCUAGAGUAUAAAGAGUAGCCAGCGGGGAUUGUGGAUACCAAGGAACGAGUAAACCGAAACAAAGUUGUCAGAACUUAUAAAGUGGUGUGGAGUCAUCGUGACGAUAGGGAUGCCACCUGGGAAACAAAGGAUUACUUGAAAACAGUUUAUCCAAAAUUUCAUAAGAAAUGGUUAGUAACCCGAAAUCUCGGGACGAGAUUUCCCUAAGGGGGGAAGGGCUGUAACACCCUCGGUGUUAAGCAUGCACUUAGUCUUAUCAAAGUCAUGCAUAAGCAUUCCCAUCAAGCAUAAGCAUCAUGAGCAUGUCAUUCUUUUCAAAAUAUGAUUUUAUGUGCUUCAUUUCAUGAGUUUUAAAUAUGCUAAAAAUAUGAUACUUGCUUCUAAAAUUUGUGAAAUAUUCAAACUAGGUUGAUUUAUGUGUAAGAAGAAUUUAGAGUAUUUUUGUGUAAUUUUUGGAGCUAUAGAAUUUGAGAAAUGGAAUUUAUACAAAAUAUCCAAAAAGAAUUUAUUUAAAAACCUAGAACUAAGUUUUGAUUUGUAAUUCAAAUUCUAUUUAGAAUUUGGUCUUGCUUAUUAAAGCAAAGUUGUAGAGUUUUUAGUUUGGAACAACUUUGCCUUUGGAGAAAGUGGUGAAAAAGAUUUGAAAAUGGCCAAAAUGAAUUUAGAAGAGAAAUUGAGAAAAGAAAUUCAAAAAAUAUAUAUAGAAAAGGGAAAAGGGGGCGCUAGCAGGCCGCGGCCUCACUUCUGGCCCGCUGGCCGAAGCCGGCUCGGCCCGCCCACGCCUUCCCCUUCCCCUUCCCCUUCCCUGGGCUUGCGCCCGCGUCCGCGCGCGGACGGCCGCUCGGUGCCGCCGUGGCGCGCCGGCAGAGCCUGGCCGCCGUGUGGCGAGCAUGCGGCAGCGAGGACGCGUCCCGGUCGGCCACCAGAAGCGCUCGGCUGCGCCCGCCUCCGCCCCCUCUUCCAUUCGCGCCCCUCGGCCCUCGCUCUCUCGCUCUCUCGCCCUCGGUCUGCACGCGCAGAGCGCCGCCGUCGCCAUUGGAGCACGAGCUCCGCCUCGGCCGUUCCUCCCCCGUGCGUGCUCCAUUCUGCGAUUAGUUCUCCCCCGAGCUCCGCCCUCGCUCCGCCGUUGCGGAACACCCGUCCGAGCGCUCGGUAAGGCACGGUGAGCCCCCGCUCGCUCUCGUUUUCUUCUCCGGCGAGAGCUCCGCCGCCGCGCACGUGAUCCGCGCGUCUCCAUGCCUUCUGGUGCUGCGUAGUUGGCGCAUUGUGCUCGCCUUGGCACCGCAAUGCUCACGAGCCACUCCAGCCACGCUCUACCGGGCCAGCGUCCCGUGCCGACGGUGAGCAGCGCCGCCGCUCCGCCAUGGCCGGUGGCGAGCCUGCUCCGGUCCGUUUUAGGCCACACAAAUGGGUGCGCUAGGUCCGCCGUGAGCCGUAGAGCGUGUAGAGCCGCUUGAUUCGCCGAAAGGGGUCACCAACGGUGAGCUCCGCCCUCCCCUCUGCGUCCUGACCAGUGGGCCCGGCUGGCAGGCGGGUCCGCUCGUCAGCGACCGCGGGUGCACUGCACCGGGUGCACCUAGCCGGUCUCGGGGUGGAUGACAGGUGGGGUCAUCUGACUCGCGUGUCCCGCCUGUCAGUGACUCCGAGGGUUUGAAUCCGAGUGCGCUUAGCCUUUUAGGUUGUUUUCCAUUUUAAAAGUUUUUCCAGAAAAUGGGUUAUGUAUUCAAAAAUCCAUAUCUUGAGGAAUAUAGCUCCAAAAAUUGUGAAAUAAAUUUUGGUGUGUUCCCUAUUUCCAGAUCUAUAGCCUAGUAUGUCUGCAUGUCAUGUUUGAGUAACUUUUGUGUAUGAAAAUAUUUAAUCCAUGUUUUUGCUAAACUUAGAAAAUGCAUAGUAAAUAAAAUAUGGCUCAGAAAAAUGUGAAAUUUGUUUUGUUGGCUCUGCAUGUGUGUUUACUCACUGGGAAAAUAUUGUUACAUAUUAUUUGGUGUAUAAAUUAAUUUAUGGUAAUUUAAAUGCUUGCAUGGCAGUGAUUUAUGAUUUUUAAUAAUUAAUUGGGUCAUGCAAUAAAUCUGGAAAAUUUUGUGGGUAUUUCUUAUGAUAUUAGACAAAUGGUAAAAAUAUGAAAUCUGUUGUUUGACAUUUAUAUCACAGUGGAGUAAUUAUACUUACUUUAUUAAUUAAUCUUCUGAUUUUUGUGGCUCAAAAUAAGUAUCCAAAAAUUAUGAAUGGUUGUGUAUAUAGGUUGAAUGGAAUAAGUUGGGUUUGGUGUAUCUUUGAAGCAUCGUGUGGGUUGCUGGUUGCAUUUGAAAAAUAAUUGUAGAAGAGAAUGCAAUAGAUGUUUGAUUCAGUUGAUUGCUCUUGGAGGUUGUUGACUACCUUGUAAUGAGCAUGACCAAGCGUAUCACUUAUGCCAUGACUCCUUUAGUACCUUCUCAUACAAGCAUCCACUCGGGCACCUCGCACUCCACUCAUAAGCACACAUGCAUCAUACAGGCUCGCAGGAGAACGAAGUGGGACCCGAGGAGCCAGAGGAGAGUCAGGAGCAGGAACCUCCGGAAGCACAGGAACCCAGAGAGGAACUGCAGGAGUGUCCAGAUCACCGACCCAGCACGUUUGAGAAAGGCAAGCCCCGGAGCAUUCUAAGUCUCCCUAUUCUCGCUAACUUAUACAAAGCACUAUACUUGUUCUACUAUAUUGCAUUUAAGUGAUAGGAAUUGCUCGAUACCGUUGAUGCAUAUGUACUCCUUGUUAUCCUUACUCGUUCACCUACCUUGUCCUAUGUAGAUAGGCACGGAGUCUAUGCUUAGCUUGCUUAGUCCGGUAGAAGUCGGGUGAUUCCCUGUCACCUGCGAGAUAUAGGUGGAUACCUGCUUGAUUAAGCAGUAGUUGCUUGGGGAAAGGAAUAACCAAGUGUGGAAUAUAAUUGGAGACCGGGCAGGGUCUUAUGGUGGGUUCACCAUAGUGCCCCUGCCUGUGUCGAUUAAGGACCGAUCGUUGACGGCCCUCUUGUCAUGUUGAACGCAUGCCCCACAUUUAGCUGGAAGGAUAAGUCGUUCCGACCACGAAGCCUGAGCACUAUCCAGGCCGGGAAUCGGCCCGAUGUACGCGCUGUAUUGGUGAUGGUUGAGGAGAACGACGAGGGCGCGGCGCGCAACCUUGGUAUACCUUGGAUACCUCGGUCGCCGGAACGGUCCUCGGGUACGGGCGGUGCCUGUCGAACCCACGAAUUGGUCCUGGAUAGUGCAAUACGGUGAUCUGUAGCUCACUUGAUCAGUGAGUGUGGUUUGUGUGGGGAAUAAACUCGCCAGCUGGUUAGAAAUCGAUUCGAAUCGCCAUCGCUCCUGGAUAGUGAGCACUUGACAUGAGCCCUGUCCUCGUAGUAAGGACUAUGGAACACUUGGGUUAUAAUGAUGAAUGGUUUUAAGAAAUGCUAUGAUGAGGUACUAUCAUAGUCUUAUACUUGCUUGUAAUAGUGCAGGUGCAAACCUAGAUGAUAGGUAAUGAUACUUUCAACUUGAGCAAAUUAAAAGAAGAAAGACUUAUGUAGGUUAUGAUAGUGAAAUACUGCGGUUUUACAAAAUGGUUGUCAGCUACCCCACUAUAUAGCCUUCAUGAUCCUUGAUGAGUCUUUAUUUUAAGUUUAUGACGGGUAAGUCUAGUUGAGUACCUUCUCGUACUCAGGGUUCUACUCCCAUGUUGUUUUGCAGAUGGUCAAAUGUAUUAUGGUUAUUGCAUCCUCUGUCUGUACCCAGCCAUGGGUGAUGACUAGACCAAGGGCGAUGGUCACUCCGUCUUCUCUUUUGCUUUUGUGGGAAUGACCGAACUAUGGCACUGUAUCAGACUAAGUGUGUGUGUUGUAUUUUCGAAUUAUGAAGCUUCUGCUACUUGAAGAACAUGGUAUUGUAAUAACUUUAAGUACUCCGAUGUAUUUUAUAAAUGUUGUAAUCUGGAUGUAUUGUGGAUGGCGACCGCUAAACUUAUUACGAUCUUGGCUGUUGUACGAUGUGUGGUUUGAAAUCCUUCGAGAUUUCACAGACUACCGGGAUUAUAUGGGCUUAAGCCUGAUGGUUUGACUAUGCAAAUAGUCGCUCUUAGGCUUAAUCUCUUAUAAUUUGGUCGGUUCUGUUACAUAGAUGGUAGAAAAUUGCGCGGUGCGUUGAUAUCUAUAUGUAAUCCCAACAUGUGGGCCUUUCUUCCGUAUUUCUUGAUAACCCCCUGCAAAAAUAGACAAACACCAAAACUUGUGGAAUUCUGUUAGAUAAAACCCUAAGUCUAGGUGUUGGUUGCAUUUGGAUCCUUUUCUUUAUUUAUUUGAUGAUUAUAUUUGGUACAUAAGGACCGUCAACAAUGUUCAGGCUGCUGCCGCAGUCCAUCAGCACCUUCGAGAGUCUAGCGUUGAUGAUGAUGGGGUCGACGACGAGCGGGUAGACGCCGGGGGCGACUACCUUGUCAGGGUGGUCGUCUCGAUCGAAGGUGAUGGGGGUGUUUGACCAGUUGAGGUACUGGGGCACUGCCAUCAUUGCCACAAAGACCUCGCGGUGCUCCUUCUUGUGCUGCCUUGCGGUUAGCUGUGUCGAGGGUCCGCCGUAGAUCAUGUAGCAGUCAUGGACGGCUGGGAAACCUUCGUCGUCUUUGUCAUAUCCCUUGUUGCCGCUCUUCUCUUUCUUCUGGUCGUCCUUCUUGAACCCCAGGCCGUCGAAGUGCCUCUUCAGCAUACGGUAGUCCUCGAGCUUGUGGUUCGCCCCUCCCUUAUGGUAAGGGUAGGGCUCCUUUAGCAUUUUGUCGAAGAUAGCCCCCUCUGGGGGUCCUUAUUGACGGUCCUUAAGUAUCAAAUUUAAUUAUCAAAUAAAUAAAGAAAAGGAUCCAAAUGAAAUCAAGAUCCAGACUUAGGGUUUUAUCUGACAGAAUUCCACGAGUUUUGGUGUUUGUCUAUUUCUGCAGGGGGUUAUCAGGAAACAUGGAAGAUAGGCCCACAUGUCAGGAUUAUGUAAAGAUAUUAACGUGCUGCGCAAUUAUCUUACAUCUAGAAGACUCCAGAAGCCACGAGACCGAAGCGGAGGCGAAACGGGGCCAGAGGCAGGGCGCCCGCCCUGUCCUACUGGGUGCCCGCCCACCUCCUGUGUCCAAUCAGGACUCUGCUUUGCGGGAGAUCUCCACCGACCUAAAGGAUGAAUCUAAACCAUACAAUCUAUGUCGGUUUGAUCCAAUGACCCAUAUUCACUUGAAGGGACUAUAAAACCAGACCCUCUGGCCCCUGGAGGAGAGAGCCUCUCAACCCUAAUUCAUUAUUCCAUCAAGGGAGAAGAAGCCUCUGAUCAAGAUUAGAGCCACCACAUCAAUUAGACAUAUAGAUUAGCAUAGCUACAUAGGAUUAGAACUAGAAGGAGUCAAUCUUCGAUUGGUUUCCGGAUCUAUCAAGAGGAUUCUUGGUAAUUCUCUAAUUGUGCUUCUAAUUGCUUUCUAAUUAUCUUUGUUCUUCAAUAUUAUGAAUAUGACUUUGUUCUACUUCAAUAUAUUGCUUAUGACUUUGCUCUACUUGCUUAUAUUCAAGAUUAUAUUGUUCUUAGUUUAUCAUAGUUAUGUACUUGGCUUAGUUAGAUUCGAUCUAUAUACAUGCUUAGGAUUGUAUAGCGUUUAUCCAUCGGAUCCAUGGGUAAAUGAUAGAUAUUGUGUAGGCGUGGUGCUUAUACCGUAUUUAUCUGCGAUUGUACCCAAUAUGACACAUCGUGGGGUAGUUCGUGAUAGUGACAGCUUCAUUGAUUCUUAUAUAGUCCCCCUCUCGUGUAUUGGGCUGGCAGAGCAACAUUAUUACAGGGGAGUGAUUGCUAUGUUUCUCAUAUUCCUUGCUAAUAUCACUAUGCAUGGGCGUAGUCUUGUCUCGCAAUGAUUGCUAAGUAUGCUUGCACUAACUAUGAUAUGCUAGACUAUAGAGUUAAGAAUAACUUAGGGAAUAUUCUUGUAGUUCGUUCUAAUACCAUACUAAUGACUUUCUAGAGUAUCUAAUUGAGGUGCUUAUCAUAUUUAUUAUGUGGCUAGAUCAGAUUAGUUAUCCUUGUCACUAUUAUUAUUUCAUAUAUCCUUUAUGUGACACUUAUCCCUGUAUGAAGAGUUAAAUAUAAUGUUCUCAAUUAUACAUGCAAUGAUAGAUGCUCAAUCUCAUAUUCUAUUCUGUAAUCAAUAGUGAUGAUUGCUAAUCCCUUCUCAGUGGUAAAAAUAUAAAUAACGAUACCUGGAAUAGUUCCCGGUUAAAAUGCUGCAUCGGUAUUAAUCUGUGCGCUUGCAGAUCCCAUUCAUUAUUUAUUUAGAAGAGCAAUUGCAUAUUUCAAUACCGCGUCUCUUAUAUCAUGCUGGGGAUGACAACUUGGCUUAAGUGGUGUGAGGGAUAGGUUUGGCAUUUUUGGCAUCGUUGCUAGAUUUAGAGAACUUAGUCUACUUUUGGUAAUGAUGUUAAGAAUACCCAACAAGCAUUUUUUGGCGCUGUUGCCGGGGAAGGUUGAUUACUAAUCAAGAAUGGAAUAAAGGAUUUUGAGUUAUCAUUCGCAUCACUAAUAUGAUUGAGCUUAUCUAUUCUCUCAUACAGUUUUACCCCGAUAUUUUUCUAUUUUAUCUUAUGCAGGGGAAUGUAUGAAUAGAAGACAUCUUCCAGGAAAUUGUUGAUAAUCCCGAAGCAUUAUUCAAAAAGACAAGGGCCAAGCUCAAGAAGAAAUCAUCAACACUUCACGAAGAAGCUUCAUCCAAUCAAGAAGAUCACCGGAACUUGUCUUCAGAGUUCGAAGCCAUGGCGAACAAAUCGAAACGCGAGUUCUCAGCUCCCACUUCGGAUAACAUCCGCACUGGACCUGCUGCAGAGAUUGAUGGCGACUUUGAGCUCAAGCCUGGACUUAUCAACAUGGUGCAAUCCAACUAGUUCUGUGGGAAGGCACACGAAGAUGCUAGUGCUCAUUUACAACACUUCCUGGAGAUUUGCAACACAUUCACCAUAUCAGGAGUUUCCAAAGAUGCUAUACUACUUCGCCUCUUCCCAUUCUCACUGUUAGGAAGAGCGAAGCAGUGGUUCUACGCUACAAAGGAGAAGAAUACUACGUGGGCACUCUGCUCAACAAACUUCCUAGCAAAGUUCUUUCCCAUGGGCAAGACCAAUGCUCUCCGUGGGAAGAUUACAAGUUUUCAGCAACAAAAUGAUGAAUCCGUCCCAGAAGCAUGGGAGUGCUUUCAAGACUACAUCCUAGAAUGUCCCCAUCUUGGAAUGGAGAGUUGGCUAUUGAUGCAGACGUUCUAUCAUGGCCUCGGCAACAGUGCCCGAGAGACCAUGGAUGCUGCAGCUGGAGGAGCAUUCUUAUCACUUACUAUACCACAAGCCACAGCUCUUGUGGAGAAGAUGGCGUCCAACCAAGGCUGGAAUGAAGAGAGGACCCAGACAUGCAAGAGAGGUGGAGGUAUGCAUCAGCUGAAGGAGGUAGACAUGCUGUCUGCAAAGCUAGACCUGCUCAUGAAGAAGCUCGACGAUAGAGCCGGAGACAAGAAAGAAGUUAUGCACAUCUACGACUCUCACAUGACUUGUGAGGAGUGUGGAGACACUGGACACUCAGGCAACCACUGCCCUGAGAUACUUGAGGAUGUGAACUACAUCAACAACAACAACAACAACUACUACAACCGUCCUCAACAAAAUCAAGGUUGGAAUCAACAGAGGCCUAACUACUCAGGUAGUUAUCAAGGUAAUAAUUCUUACAACAAUAAUAAUAAUUUUCCACCUCUGAGAGAGUUAGUGUCUAAUCAAGGAAAGCUAAUGGAUAACCUAUUUAAGAAAUUGGCAUCUAAUGAUAAAAUGCUAGAAAAUAUAAAUAAUAGAAUGGAUAAUUUUUCUACUGCCAUCAAGAAUCAAAUUAGCUUUAAUAAAAUGAUUGAAUCUCAGUUAAAUCAAAUAGUUGCUGCUGUUCCUACUACUAACCCCGGUAUACCAUCACAACCGGAAGGAUUAGAAUCUGCAAAUCUUGUAGACAUGUUUGAUGCAGGUAAUUAUAGUAACCCCGUCAAUGAAUUCUCUACUAACCUUAUGCCGGUCAAGAGAGGCGAUCCAGGACGCCCCGUCAUCCCGAUCUCCAUCGGCAUGGUGGAUGUCCCAGAAGCACUCUGCGACUUUGGCUCCAGCGUCAACAUUAUACCCAGGGUACUCUAUGAAAAAUUCUUUACAUAUCCUUUAUUAGAAACAACCAUGUGUUUGCAGUUUGCACAUCAGACGAUAACUUUUCCAAAAGGAAUAGUGAAGAACCUUUGUGUACGAGUUGGUACCUUAUAUGCCCCAGCAGACUUCGUAGUGGUAGAGACCGGAAGUGAUGAGAGAGCACCUGUCAUCCUAGGGAGGCCAUUCUUGAACACCACGGGACCUAUCAUCUACGCCAGUGCUGCCAAGAUCAGUUUCUACGUCAAAGGGAAGAAGGAGACAUUUUUCUUCAAGAACAAGACUACACAAAUUCAAGAUCAAUCGAGACGUAAAUCAAGGAAGAGGACCAACAGGAGAAACAAGAACAAACAAGUGUGGACUGAGUCAGCUAAGAUGGUCACUGUAGUCCAUGGAGGCCAAGAUCACCAACUUAAGUCACCAUUUUUGACCAAGAAGGACGACCCAGGAAUGCCAAGCAUUUAAUGCUCCAUAAAUGGAUACAACUUCUACAAGACAUUUUGUGACACCGGAUCGGGCGUCAACAUAAUGGCCGCAGUCACCUAUCGGCUCUUAUUCGGAACCAUGCCACUAAAACCAACAUACAUUCAACUCCAGAUGGCAGAUCAGACAUUUCGAGAAGUUAAAGGAACAGUAACGGAUGUCCCAGUCAAAAUAGACGAUCAUUUUGUCUACACAGACUUUUAAGUUAUUGACAUGGGAGAAGACGAGUAUGAUCCACCCAUCAUCCUUGGAAGAUCGUUUCUCAGCACCGUUAAAGCAAUUAUCUACAUUGGAACCGGAGAAGUCCAUAUGCACUUCCCCUCAGAGAAGGUAUGCCGUUAUUUUACUGACCCUAACUAUAUCGUUGAAGAAUCUAAGCAGGUAAGAAAGCGACGCAACCGCAACCAGAGGAGGCAGAUCAUCAGGGACGGAUGGGCAGACUACGAAGGAGAAGUUGUAAGGUCAGAAGACGUAGAGUUUAAAUAGAAUUAUCCAGAGGAGACCGUAGCACCGAGUCAGGUAUGGAAAGAGAAGAUAACUAUACAUGAAGAGGAGGCACUGCCGGAAGUACCGACUCCGCCAACCAACGAAUCCCAUGACAAUUGAGAAAAUGGAGAGUCCCGUUCGGAGGACUUAAAAACACCGAACGCCUUGCCAAGAGGUAAACUUGGUAGUUAUCCUUUCCCUUUUAAUUAUUUCAACUAGUUUACUUUGUUAAUCAUGUUCGUGCUAUCUUAAAAAGAAAAUAAAAAUAUGAAAAACAGUAAGCUAUACGAGUGGCAUAAAACCCAUAAGUACAUUCACUGUGGUGGCAUAAAAAUAAAAUAAAAAUUUCUUUUCUGCUUUAUAAAAUAAAAAUAUAAAAACAGGGAGUAAUAAUUAUUAAGGAGUCUCAACAUGAUAAAGGCUAGAUAUUUAUGCUAACACUUAAUCAGUUCCACAAGCUUUGUUGUCUAUUUGAGCUCCACAGAAUUUAAGAAUCAGGAAGACUGGCAGACGGAGGACAUUCUUAUCGCUGUCAGAAUGCUGCUGACUUUCAAAUACACCUCUGCUGCCUGCUAGCUACAUCAAGAGAAAUUACGUCAAAAUUCAGCUUGGGGGAGAGCACCCCAUUUAUCUCGAUAAGUAUUUCUAUCUAUCUAUCUUUAUACUUAUAUUAUAUUUGAAUAUAAAUAUAAAUAACUAUGGGAAAAUCAAAUAAAGAUCUUGUGCUUAUAUAUAACUUUUGCUAGUGUGUUUAAUAAAUAAAUAAAGUGGCUAUGCUAAUCUGUAUCUAAAUAAAACUCUAGCAUGGAUAUGACGAAUAGUUGCUCUGCCUAAUUUGCACAUUUGAAGUUCUCUCUCAAGUUUAGACAUAACUGUUAUAAUUUAAGGCUUGCUCUAGACAUAAACUUGUGGGAUGAAAACUUGAUCUGAAGUCUAAGUUGUUAACGGAUACGAUAUGGGAAGGUUGAGCUGCUGUUUAUCUGUUCCUAGAGAUGCUAGAAUUCUGGAGAAUUUUAUCUUUGAAAAUCUUUAAAAUGUUGCAUGAUGUGUUCCUGAAUGAUGAGAGUUUAAAUUCCUACCACAGCCAUAUAUACAUGCUUGCUAGACUUUGAGCCACACAUUUACUAUUUACUACUUAUGAGCAUUGAGUGUGGUCAAGCUGUGUAGACCCUUAGGAGCUUGUCAUGUGGUUAAAUCAAGAUUCACUUGCACGUUCACUCAUAUAUGCUACUUCUAUUCCAGAAGUACCAUCCACAUAUACCCAUCCAUUUCCAUCUCCAGAACCACCCAAAAAUAUUCUACUCCUAAUUCGGGAGAGAAUAAACAAAAAUAUUCAUGUUUUUCUUUGUGAAAUAAAUGCUCAAGUUAUCUUGUUACUACCACUUGCUAUAUUAUCUCAAGAGAUGAGUGCUCUAAAAAAAGAGAGAAAAAAAAUAAAAAUACGAGGAAAUAAAAAGGAGCAAGUGCUCGGAACCUCGAAAGAAAAGAAAAAGUGAGACGAGAGGUAAAAAUGGACAAGUGUCCGAUAGUAGAAUUAGGGGUACAAGAUACCCACCUGAGAGAAAAGAAAAAGAAGAGCAUCUCAUUCUCCUCAUAAAGUUUCAAAAAGCAAGGAAGGUAUGUAUCCCCUCAAAGAGCAAAAGUAGAAUUAGACUUCCACCAUUGUUAUCACCAUCAUCACCAUACACCAUUCAUUCACCACACAUGCACAUUUUGAUUUGACUUAUUGAUUUGUUUCUUUGGAUCCAUGGUUUGACUAUACAAUAAAUGUCUUGUAAGUAUGUAUAUUUUAUCUCCCACCUAUGAGCUCCAGAUAUAAAAGCCUUAUUAGAGUAGGGUGAGAGAGAAGACAAUGUCAUUAUGCUUCAUACCACAAAUACCACAUAUUUUGAGAGAAGGCAUAUACCAUCACUGCCUUGGUAAGGAUCCAGAAAUACCACAAAAGAGAGACCUGAGAGAAUCAUACAAGGAAUCUCUGAGUUUUAUUUGAAAAUCUGCAAAAACCCCAGAGCUAUAGCUGAUCAAGAAUAAGAGACAUGGCACUUGGCUAGACUGUUCUAUCUUUUAACCUCUCAAGACUGAAGUGACGGUUACAAGUCCCAUGGUGUAGGUAAAGUAAGUAAGUUUUAAGUCUUGACAGUUUACUCUAACUCAG